AAUUAAACGUCUUCGGUUAUGUGCCACGAUACUUCAAAUCCGUUUUCAUGAGUAUACGAUGUCGCCUCGGCCCUCCAGGCGGAAACGAAGCCUAAACGACCGUUUCUUUAAUAACUUUACAACGGCUCGACGAAUCGCCGAACCGACUUCGCCAACGCGUUCGUUUACCUUGCAAUUAGGUUUACGAAGGGUCAAAUUGGAUCAAACCCUCACAUAUUGAAAAAUCUCAUUUUUGAGCCCUAACAUGCAAUUACCCCCAAAUAAUCCAAAUUAAAUGGAGCAACAUGCUAAGAAUGCUCAUUAGAGGCUACUAGAACUCUUAAAGCUAAGGAUUAAGCCAAAUCCCAAAAGCUUACCCCAAUGUGAACGCCGCAACGAAAACACGUCGCUCCAACGGGUGCAUGAAUGCUCAAUCCGUCGCCUCCAACGCGUUCGCAAGCUCGAUCUCCACCAACGCCGCGAAUUUAGACGAGAAAUAUAGAGAGAUGAGAGAGAUAUUUAGAGAGAAAAAAGGGAGAGUUUCUCUCACUACACCAUGAACGUGUGCUUGUGUGGGGUGGUGGUCGGCUGUGAAGAGGAAGAAGCCUAGUAGCUUCUACUUAUAGUCAACACCUCAAUAGUAGCAUACACUAUUCACAUCAGGCAGCUCCAAAUCUGAUAUCUUUUGCCGGAACUCCCUGAAUAUCGGUUUGAGCUCAAAUCUGAUAGUCAUGUUUGGCUGUGCUUAACUUUACGAAAGAAAUUUUAAUCUUUCAGUUUCGACCCCGUUUGGUCACCGAAACCUGUACCGAACUGCAAUCUUUAUCAGAUAGCUUUCGGAUUUUAUUUCUCAAUCUACGGGUGUCAGAAUAAUAUGAAACUUUAAAUCUAGCCUCAUAAAAAUAUUUCUGACUUAUCCUCCAGUUUUCAUAAUUUUCUUACACUGUGUAUUUUCUGCUAAUUUAUCUGCCCCGUUUCACACAGAAAAUUCUAAAUAUUCUGUUUUCGCUCCGAUUUCAGCACAGGUCAUUUCCAACUUAUAUUUCACUUCUCUAAAUCCAAUAAAAAUAGUAUCUCAUACUAUUUUUUAUUUAUUUUCCUUUUUAUAUUAAAAUCCGCAUAUUACAUCCCACCGUAACUUCAUAAUUUUAAAAGUUCGGUAUCCUACAUCCUCCCCUCCUUAAAAAGUGUUUCGUCCUCGAAACUCAAAUCUCAUCUCAAUUCGAGUUAUCGAGAAACUGAGGGUAACAAUGCACUUUUGCACUCCGGGGUGGCCUUUCUCUCAUUGGAACUACCCAAAGGCCCACUACGGAGGAUGUGAGACCAAACUCACUCACAUUUGCUAAGCACAACACCAAAUGUACAUUACGGUUUCGUAAGUUUAGGUGGCAGCGUAAGCCGACACUCGACGACUCUACACGCUCCAACACCGCUUGCUACCGAAUCUAGGGAGUAUACUUCGAUUCGAUCACCGGCAUUGUCUAAAAGCAAUAUCAUUGGUGCAUCGACCCAUCACAAGUGCUACCAUCACAAUCGGAUUUUUGCUCUACUACGAGAUGGCACACUUCUGCACAUCACCAAUCUUAAUCCUCAAGAGAGCAUAUUCUCAAAUCUCACGUGGCAAUCCUAUGUCCAAGUGUCUCCAAGAGACCACUUUACUUUCUCUUUCCUUCGCCACGGCUAAUAUCAAUUUGUUCCAGCAACGAAUUCACACGAACACUUUGUUCGCGAAUCCAAGCUAACUCACUAACUGAGUUACCGGCCAAACAGCUCACCUCGACUUUCCAUGGGUGGACCAAAGGUCACCAACCAUACGUAGGUCUAUCGCCCAAACCUGUCUCAACACGUAGUGUCUCUCGCUUGCAAGCGUGGACCCAAUCAACACUACUGGGCGAAAUUCUCACUUGGGAAUUCGCACACACUCCGACUAGGAGGAACUAUGACCCCAAACCACGUCAGGUCCUCGGGUUGGGUUACUACACACUCGGUGUGUCAUCAAUCUCGUAAUCCACACGUGGCAUUCCACGCUCCCGGGUCUAUGCUCGGACUACCGCCCUGACCAAAACUCUGCCUUAUCCGUAGGUAUCGGGCGGCUGUCACUCACAGCUGACUACGCCUGCCCAAAGGGCCCAGGCUCCACAGUUCACAAAUGGUCCAGGCACGGGUCGUCCCCAAGCACUACCCGCCGUCAUCGUCUUAUACGACAUACUCUAUUGAGUUACACGUACCAUUACCGGCUCCUAAGUGCCUAAGCACCUAGUGUGAGCCAUCAGCCUUACGAGUGUUCCAUGGCCCGCUUCACACUUAGCAACGCUAAAGUGCUACAGCCAACACACUCUCUCGGCUGAAGCAAAUCCAUACUCUACGAGUAUCUACACUCGCACGUCGUACGCCUCUCUAACGCUCUACUCCGAAUUCGAGCCUUAGGCACUUUUGCCCUAGCACAUGGCCACACAAGCAUGACUCAGCCAUCUCAAUUCGAGGCCGUAACUUGAUAAUCAACCAACCACUCUUUCAGCAGUGAUCCUGCUUUCACUGUUUAAUCUACCGGAACUACAUCCGAGACACUCAAAUUGCUCGGUUAUGCACAAGUAUCACGGCUCAACUCUCGCAACCAACUACCCGUUGUCUUGAGAGUCGCUUCACCGUUUCGUCUUUCCCACGAGUCUCACUUCCUGUCUAGAAUCCACUACUAGCAAUUUGCUAGUACCGUCUAACCCUCCAUCUACUCCAGCAAGCGUUACACCCUCACGCGCAAGCAUGCUCGGGUAUUUACACUUAUCCGUCACUUUGGUCCUUACUACAUCGAUGCAUCGACGAUAGCAAGCGACCACACGACUAAUGCAUGCAAGGUCCUUCGACCAAGGUCGCGUACUCACUGACGCUCGUUGCCCGCCGCGAACCCUCCGUCGUCACUUCCUCACCACUUGUUCUCUAGACCACUCUGUAGACUUCACAUCCACAAACUGUCUCGGAGAGGAAGAGGCUACCUCCUACAACGCGACCCUGCAAUCGACCGCACGAAUGCCUAUCUCACCACGCAACGCACACUACGUGCUCGGUGAGAACUCCCACAAUCCCGCAUCUCAAGGAAGUCAAUAAAGGCACCUCCGAGGUUCGAGAUUGCGAUUGGAAUCAAGAAGGUGCAUUGCCCCAAACUGGGCAAUUUUGAGCUACGGGGACCGGUCCUUGCCCGAGAGACCGGUCCUCGGGAAACCGGUUCCUGCUGAGAGACCGGUUCCCGAGAGUGGCAUUUCCGGGACUUAGCCAAUUUUUCGCUUCUCGCCGAUUUCGCACACGGGGGGUGGGGGGGGGGAGACCGGUCACUCAGAUCCAGGGACCGGUUGCAUCAAGCAACCCCGCAACCAUUGGCUACGGGGACCGGUUCCUCCCUGCCAGGGACCGGUCCCCGAGAGCAACUCCACCAAGUGCAGACCUUGCACUAUUGCUCUCGUGGACUCCAACUCCAACGCACUUUUGGUGAUUUAGACAUCUUCGGCUUCUCCGAAGCCUACACACUCGACAAUUAGUCGAUUUCCGACGAAGUCAAAUCCUCGGAUUUCGAGAAUCUACUUCCCCUACAUAAACGACUUUAACAAUGCCCGGCCGAAAUCUCCGCACAAGCAAUUCGGCCAUGCCCUCGUCAUCCCGCACUACGUGUAGGAUGCAUUUCACGACACGGGAGAACUCCCGCUCGUAUCGUCUCACGGUGCAGUUUACCUGCCACAGCUUCGGAAACUUAUCCUGAAGCUUCCCUCUAUCACCAUCGGGGAAGUAAACGUAGGAUACUAAUCCCCGAACUCAUCCCAGACCAUCGGAGGCAGACCAGGCAAUCGAUUUCGUCGAAUGCCUUUCUACCACACCCUUGCCGACUGCUUACAAGCAACGUACGGCUAGGUGUGCCCUGCCUCACGCUACAACGCAUAGAUCCCCCAAAGGGAGUCUUGCUCUCAGUUCGUCACCAGCAACUUGCCGGCAUUGACUACUCACCAAUCCCCUUUAGGUAGGCGACAUACUACCACGACUUAUGCAUGCUGGGGGGGGUAACUACACUGACCUGCGUCCUGGUUUCUACUAUACGAACAUGUAAAUAGUAGUAAAAGACCACAAAUAAAAUGCAUGCAAUUGCUUAAAUUGCUUCUUGCUAGAAUGUAUGAUUGCUUAAUUAAAUCAUACCUGCGGUGACAUCACCAACAGCAGCAGGUUCCUCGACUUCAGCCGCGUAUCCAGGGCCGCUUGGUGCUCCCUGAAUGUCCUCCGGUCGCUCGACCACCCCAAGCUCUCCAGACCGCGCCACAAGCUGCACAUCCACCAUCUGACCCGGAGAGGUGAAAGUCGUCACUGUCGGCGGGAGUCGUCCAUCGCCCAAGGGGCAAUCAUAUUUCACGUGGCCAGACUGCCCACAACGAAAACACCUUCCCUCUCGCAGUGCAUACCGCCGCGCCUGGUGGGAUCCUCCACAAAUCACACACCCUGCAGAUACGGCAGUAGCAGACGGAACUCCUCCGAACUGCCGCUGGAUCUCUGGGGCGGAUGCAACUGACGGGCAGGUGGCACUCCUUCCGCGCACUGACGGGCCAUAUGUCCCGCCCGACCACACUUGAAGCACCGUCCCGCCCGAUCCUUACAAGUCGCUGCGCGAUGCUCUCUACCGCAGAUAACGCACCGCAUAGGUCCUUGUCUAAUAGACCGCCCUUUUUGGUACUUCGGGGCUUUUUUGGAACUAGACUGUUCCCCCGAACCACCACCAGACCGUUUCUUCACUCCACUCUCCUUGAACGCCUCGCGUUCCUGUCUCACUUCCCCAGCUGCCGCAUCGAGUAUCGUAGGACCCGAAGCCGCCAGAGGGACACUAGAUUGCAAGUGACUACAAGCAAUCGGAGAGCGAUUCGAGGUGGGUUGUGUUUACCGAAGCGACUAGGUCGCCUCCAUGUCAAAGUGGAGCUUGAAUUCAUAUUGAUGCAUAUUAUGGUAGUUGUAGCAUUUCGGAUGCAUAGAUGCUAAAGAUAUAUAAACUGCCAUUAGAUAAAGACAUGGACUAGAAAUGCUAAGUGGAUUGUAUGUGCAGGUUAAUAUUAUGAUAACCAUGCUAGUUGAUGAUUGCAUAAUGAUGCAUUGAGAAUAUAUGCUAGAGGAUAGAUUCAUGUUGGUAUAUAUAUGCAUAGUGGAAUAAAUGCUAGCUACAUGUUAGCAUUGUGAGAUCAUGUUAGGGAGCAUGCAUAUGGACAUAUUGUUGAUUAUGUUAGAUAAGAUGCAUGUUAGCUUUGUAAACUUGAUGUGGACAAUUAGGAUGUCAAAUAGAUCAAGUGGCAUUGAACCUAGUGUUAAUAAACAUAGGUUGGACAUGAAUGACAUUGAACCUAGUGUUAGUAAACAUAGGUUGGAAUCACGAGUAGUAUUAAACUUAGUGUUAAUGAAUAUAGGUUGAGAAUUGAACCUAGAGUCAAGUAAACCUAGGUUGUGUGAUAGGGGCAUUGUCACGCCCCGAGACCUCUACCGAUUUGGUCCGGUUCGGUCGCGUCGAACAGACGCCGAGCGGACAGCAUCUCCCCUGUCCGCCGAAGGCUAAACAACCAGAUCAUGUACAAGAAUUUGCCCAGGUAAUGAAAUUCUAUACAUACAUAAUCAACGAAGGGCACAACAAGUGCCAACAACUAAGAGCAAGAAUCCACAAGCAUACACAAGUGAAAUAAAGAGAGUAUUACUAACUAUUACAUCAUUUGCGUUCAAUUACAAGUGAAGGCUGUCUUGGUUAAUGAAGUAUUGAAUAACCUUAACUUUAAAAAAGGAUCUGCCGCUCCUUCGCGGCAUUGGGCUGUAAAUUGAGCGACGUGUUCGACCGUAUUUUCGGUCUCAUCUCCCGAAAAUUUGUCAAAUUUCCAAUUUGCCGGAUAUGAGUGUUCUAUAUCUAUAUUAGCAGGAUAUGGUGAUCUGAAUAUAGGCCGUAUUGCCGGCCUUGUGCCUACUCCGAAAGUAUUCCGGAUCGCUUCUUCUAUUUGCGCAUAUAUCUCAUUAUUAAUCCCCUGUAUGGGGACUUGCGCUGGCACUGGAUUCGGUGGUUGUUGAACCCCGAGAUUCUGUACUAGGGGAUUAACCCCUUGUGCAUUCGGAGCCUGCCCCGUAGCCCCUACGUUUUGGGGCUGGUAGGUUGCAAGUGGAGGGGGUGGAGGUAAUCCCCAAGCCACUUCCGGCUGUUGAUCGGUGUUUCCAACAACCGGUCUGUAAGCCGCUUGAUAUUGUGCCCCCUGGUAUUGGGGCUGACCAACUACCAGUGUUCCUGGAUUUUGUAACACCAGCGUUAUCACAGGCGCUUGAAGGCCUGCUAUCGGCUGUUCGUUCCGAGUUAACAACUGCCCUAUUCGGGCUAUGUUCUCGUUAGAAGCCGUGAUUGCGGUCAGAACGGCAUCCAGCCGUGCGGUACUUGCGUGACUAUUUUGGUCCAAAGUCUGUAGGACCCGAGUCAUUUGGCCAAGUGCUUGGGUCAAACUAGGCUCCUGUUGGCCAGAUUGACCACUGGUCUCACCUUCAACCGGUAAAACUGCUUGGCGCUCCACAGCGUUCUCUGAAUUACUGGGUUGUUCACUCCCAGAAUUUCUGGGAAUAGCCCUAUUACGGAGAUUCAUGGCGUUGUCAUCAGCCAUACUAUAUAUAUAUAAAUGCAAAUUUACCUCAAAAGCGAGUCCCACUGGGCGUGCCAAAAAAUUGUUGGGUGCCGAACGUCCCGACCCUUGACCCGGUCAAUAAUUCUCCUCGAGAAGAUCGUCGGGAUGCGAGACGGCUGCGGAUUAUGACCCUCGAAAUAUGCGCCCACAGAGGAUCAAGCAAUUAGGCCGAUGAGGGAUCAAAUCAGCCGGGUUCGAAACCCUCCGCAGUAAAUUCGCUUCGGCAGGAUGAGCCGAAUGGAGAGGGGAAGCCCAGAAUUCGACUAAGAAACGAGCCGAAUGGCCACACAACUUGUGAUCUGAUCGGCAGGAAGAGCCGAAGAUGACUUUCUAUUGAAUAGCAAAAGGAAAUACACAAGCAGGGGAGUGAUGCCCGUAGGACAGACAGACUCUAAGUAUGGGAACAGGGGAGUGAUGCCCGUAGGGCAGACAGACUCCGAGUAUGUGUUACGAUAUAUUUUAUCUAUAUUAGGAUGUUACGAUAUAUUAGGAUAUUGUGUAUUAUUGCCUUAUAUAGAGUAGUAUCAUUGCCUUCUAUAGAGUAGGAUUAUAUAGUAUGUAAUCCUAGUUAUACUCCGACUAUUGUAGUCAUUGUUACUAUAGUAAGACAAUCUCUUGUACUAUAUAUAUUCAUUAAUACAACUCAAGAGGGUAUGCACUUUAGCCCUUCUUUCAUGGUAUCAGAGCGGGAACCCUAAUGUGGGGAUAUCGAUCCAUAGCCACCAUCCACCAUUAAUCUCACCUUUUUCUAUAGGUGUCUUUUCUUUUGGUUUUCUAUCUUCCCAAUAUUGCUACAGUACUGCUACAGUAUCAUCGCUACAGUACUGGCGCUACAGUAACAGCGCUACAGUAACAGCGCUACAGUAUUUCUGCUACAGUAUUUUCAGCCUUUCUGUGAUUUCUCUUUGCUCCUCUGGUGCCGCUCGGACUGUCCUACUGUUGGUUGCUCGUAUCGCUCGGUUCUUUCCUUGGUGCGGUCGAUCUUAUUUGGUGAUAAGUGGUUCCUCUCAUGUGGUAGAAUUCAGGUUUUUUUUUUAUUCACAUCCGCUACAUUCCGAUUUAUCUUUCUUUCUUAUCUAGUGGUGGAUCCUUAUCUUAAGGUAGUAAACAUGUCUUCUUCUACCUCAAAUUUGCCAAUUGUUAAUAUCAAAACUCUCAUACCACUAGAACUCACCGAUUCUACAUAUCUUGUGUGGAAACAAGUCUUUCUUAAUGUUCUAGAAAGUUUUGAUGUUACAAAACAUGUGGACGGAACUAGUGUUGUGCCUUCUCAGACUAUCGAUACUGCUGAUAAGAAGGAGGUUAUAAAUCCUGAAUAUGUGAGUUGGAAAAAGAACGAUACUACUAUACUUUCAUGGAUUAAUGCCACUUUAUCUCUUAGCAUAUUACAUAUGGUUGUUUCUAGCUCACCUAAAACUGCAUAUGAUGCUUGGAGAAUUAUUGAGGCAUAUUUUCUUGAUAAGACUGCUUCCACGGCUUUUUCUCUAAAAUCUGAAUUGCGGAGCAUCAAGAAAGGCUCAAUGAGCAUGAGUGAUUACAUGCAAAAGAUCAAGACGAUUGGUAAUGCUCUUCAGGCGAUUGGUGAAAUCGAGUCAGACCAUAAUUUGGUCAUGACUGUUCUUCUAGGGCUACCUGAGGAAUAUCGAGGUUUUGUUAGUGCUCUAAACACACACAGAAAUAAGCCAACUUUUGAACAACUUCGUCCACUCUUGAUGCAAGAAGAAACAGAAGUUCAGCGUCGCACUAGUGUGACUACGUCCUCUGCUAUUCCCACUAUUGACAGUGAAGCUCUUUAUGCCAAUCGUGGACGUGGUAAUCGUGGAGGCCGUGGAGGUAGAUAUCGUGGAGGCCGAGGACAACGUGGUAGACACUAUUCUGGUCGUGGAUCUCCUGAAAUCUACCCACAGUCUCAACCCAAUUAUCCUCAACAAUCUUACACUCCAAAUCAACAACCAUAUAUUCCUAAGUCCGGCAUACAAUGUCAGAUAUGUGGAAAGUUCAAUCAUUCUGCUCUUCAGUGCAGACAACGCUUCAAUCAUUCUUUCGCUGCUGAUGAAGUUCCUCAGACCUUUGCUGCUAUGAACCUUCACGAACCCGGUGAGGAAGUCUGGUAUCCGGAUACCGGAGCAUCAAAUCAUAUAACCGCAAACUCUGGUAUUCUCUCAUCUUCUAAACCUUAUAGUGGGCAUGAAAAAAUUCUUGUUGAUAAUGGAAAUUUACUUGAUAUUACUCAGACAGGUGAAACUCAAUUGAAUACAUCUUCUAACUCUUUUGCUCUAAAAAAUGUUCUUGCUGUUCCUACUAUUAAGAGAAAUUUACUUUCAGUGCGUAAAUUCUGUCAAGAUAAUAAUUCUCUUUUUGAAUUUGACUCUACUAGUUUCUCUGUGAAGGACAAGGAAACAGGGAAGGAGCUUCUUCGAUGUCCUAGCUCGGGAACAUCACUUUAUCCAAUUUCUUCUAGACUUGCAAGUCUAGGGAAUAAGCAACAACUAGCUCUUAUUGCAUCUAGAUUUAGUGGAGAUGUCUGGCAUAGAUGGUUAGGUCAUCCUAGUCUUCCUGUUCUUUCUACAUUUAUUAAAAAUAAUAAAAUUAUUUCUGAUUCUGCACUGAAAUUAUCUGUCUGCAAUGCUUGUAAUAUGGGAAAACAUGUUAAACUCUCAUUUCAUGAUUCAGAAUCUCAAUCUGCUUUUCCUUUUCAUAUUAUUCAUUCUGAUGUUUGACAACCACCUGGCUUUGUGCAUCCUUCGCUUCCUAGUCACGUUUGCCGUCUACGUAAAGCGAUAUAUGGUCUCAAACAAGCUUCUCGGGCUUGGUUUCAGCGCUUCACUUCUUUUCUUUCUGAGAUUGGUUUUGUUGGCAGCACUGCUGAUCCCUCAAUGUUUGUUUGUCAUUCUUCCUCUGGCACUCCUGUUCUCCUCUUGUAUGUUGAUGAUAUUAUUGUCACCAGCAGUUCCUCAUCUCUUCUCGAUGCUCUCAUCGUUACUUUACAACGCGAAUUUGCCAUGAAGGAUCUCGGACCGCUGCAUUAUUUUUUGGGUAUUGAGGUUCAUCGUUCUCGUUCUCCAUCUGGUCUUCAUCUAUCUCAACAAAAAUAUGCGCAUCAAUUGCUUCAGCGACAUGGUUUUCUUGACAGUAAGCCUGUUUCUACUCCUCUUUCGCCAACAUCUUGUCUCUCUUCCCAUGAAGGGCAUCUUCUUGAGGAUCUAUACACUUAUCGUCAGAUCGUUGGUGCUCUCCAGUAUCUUACUUUCACCAGACCGGACAUUUCAUAUGCCGUCAACUCUGUUGCCCAGUAUCUUUAUACACCUCGUGAACCACACAUGCAAGCGGUCAAACGUAUUCUGCGUUAUAUUCGGGGGACGCUGACUUAUGGCCUUCCUAUCUCUCGUUGCGACAAUUCUUCUCUUGUGGCCUUCGCUGAUGCUGAUUGGGCUGGUUGCCCCGAUACACGUCGCUCUACUUCUAGAUAUUGCAUUUUUCUUGGGCCAAAUCUUAUCUCCUGGUCCGCUAAGAAACAACCCACCAUUUCUCGUUCUAGUUCUGAAGCAGAGUAUCGUGCUGUAGCCUACACACUUGCUGAGACAGUCUGGAUUCGUCGUCUCCUUCGUGACCUUCGUGUUUUCUUAUGGCGCUCUAUCAGUAUUUAUUGCGAUAAUCUCAGCACCACCUACCUUGCGGCCAGUCCUGUUCUCCAUGCUCGCACGAAGCACAUUGAACUUGAUCAUCAAUUUUUGCGGAAAAAAGUUCAGUCUGGUGAUUUGGCCUUAAUUCAUAUCCCUUCUGACAAGCAACUUGCCGACAUUUUCACCAAGCCCCUGACAUCCUCUCGGUUUUCGAUAUUGCGGCUUAAUCUUCACAUCCGACCACCGGAUGCUUAGCUUGCGGGGGGAUGUUACGAUAUAUUUUAUCUAUAUUAGGAUGUUACGAUAUAUUAGGAUAUUGUGUAUUAUUGCCUUAUAUAGAGUAGUAUCAUUGCCUUCUAUAGAGUAGGAUUAUAUAGUAUGUAAUCCUAGUUAUACUCUUACUAUAGUGGUCAUUGUUACUAUAGUAAGACAAUCUCUUGUACUAUAUAUAUUCAUUAAUACAACUCAAGAGGGUAUGCACUUUAGCACUUCUUUCAGUAUGGAAAAUUACAUGAACUACUCCUAAGGAAAGCAGUAAAUGCGAGAAUAGAAAGAUGCAGAAAAAUAAAGGUGGUCUUUUGUGCGCAGGGACGAAGACCCUUUUUAAGAGUAUCGUAUGCCUAUUUAUAGAACCGCCUUUGCGUCAGUUAUCGCUCUUGCACGAUCAGCCACUAUCUCCUGAUUCGUAGGACCACCUUCGGCCGAUCGGAACCGCUCGUAACUGCUAGCGGUUGUUAUAACUCCUCGAUCCAGUGCGGCUUGUAUGUGUCCGGUGUACUCUAGGUCUGCCGUUUUAGCUGUCUUACGGAUAUGGACCCGGUAUGCCAGCUGUUCGCGCCUAACUGGCUCAACACUAUGUUUAUUAACACUAGAUUCAAUGCCACUCGAUCUAUUUGACAUCCUAAUUGUCCACAUCGACUUUACAAAGCUAAUAUGCAUCUUAUCUAACAUAAUCAACAAUAUGUCCAUAUGCAUGCUCCCUAACAUGAUCUCACAAUGCUAACAUGUAGCUAGCAUUUAUUCCACUAUGCAUAUAUAUACCAACAUGAAUCUAUCCUCUAGCAUAUAUUCUCAAUGCAUCAUUAUGCAAUCAUCAACUAGCAUGGUUAUCAUAAUAUUAACCUGCACAUACAAUCCACUUAGCAUUUCUAGUCCAUAUCUUUAUCUAAUGGCAGUUUAUAUAUCUUUAGCAUCUAUGCAUCCGAAAUGCUACAACUACCAUAAUAUGCAUCAAUAUGAAUUCAAGCACCACUUUGAUAUGGAAGCGACCUAGUCGCUUCAGUAAACGCAACCCACCUCGAAUCGCUCUCCGAUUGCUUGUAGUCACUUGCAAUCGUCCUCCCGCGGCACCCGUUGCCCGGUUCUGCCCGAACUCACACUCGACCACCAAACAGCCACCAAUCCACAAUCCGAAAAUUAAAGGUCUAUAACUUGAUGCCACGAUGCUCCGGAUCCAUUCUCGUGAUUUUUGGACGUCGUCUCGGCCCUUCAGGCGGAAACGAAGCCGAAACGUCCGUUUCUUCAAUAUCUUCGCGUAGACUCGACGAAUCAUCAAAUCGACUUUGCCAACGCGUCGAAAAUACCUUCAAUUAGAUUUACAAAUGGUCAAUUUACAUUUAAACCCAUCUAGGACAAAAGCCCAAUUUUGGUGCCCUAGCAAUGUCCUUUGCUCAAUCCUUGAUUUUGAUCUCUAGAACAAACAGAAGAGAGCUUGUUCAACAUCUAGAAGCUCAUCUAGAAGCAUCUAAAUCAUUCUUUGGGUGUUUAGAACAAACCCUAGAAUCCACCAUGAGAGCACUUGAGCAAACAUGGUUUUCUACGUGUUCUAUAGUCUCUACGAGAUUUCUACACAUGCAAGAAGAUCAAAUCUAAAAGAUUUGUAGCAUAAAACCAAGCCCUAACAUCAAUCUCACAAGAAAUCUCACCUAGGCCCAUGAACUCAACAAGUUCCUCCUUGUAGGUGUGCUCUAGAUCCUCCCAAAUCUCCAAAACCUCCAAAUCCUCCUCUUGAUCUCCUCCAAAAUCCACCUUGGAGCAUGUUUUUAGAGAUAGAGAGGGAGAGAAAUGGGGUUGGGGUGUUUUGGCUUGCUAUGAACAAGAGGGGGAGAGGUGUUGGGGCCUUUUACAAGUUGUAACAAUAGCCAAAAGGCCCUCCCAAUCUUUAUAUAUGCAGCAGGCUGCGCCUGCAGUACACGGUGCACUGUACCGGUACACGAAAUCCUGUCACCGGUUCAACAGCCUUUUUCCGUGGUCCACGGUACACUGUACCGGUACAAACCAGGGUGUCACCAGUUUAACAGCCUUUUUCACUCAAACCCAAGAGCUACCUCUCUCGGGUAGCUGCUUUGUACCGGUACACUUUUGAUGUUAAACCAGUAACACAAUGCCCAGACUUCAGUUUGUAUCUUUUUUUGAUUCUAUUUCGCGCCAAUCGAUGCUAAAACCUUUCUAACUCUUUUGGAACUUAUUUUUGACCUUUCCAACACUGUUGGAAUGUUAGAUGGACUUUGUCCAACUAUUCCUUUCGCACGCUUUAGUCAAUUUGACUAAAGUCCGAUAUAGCUUACUGAAGUUUCGGUAUGUUACAUUCUUCACCCCUUAAAAAGAAUUUCGUCCACGAAAUUCAAAUUACACCUCAAUUCAUCUCCUUGAGCAAUUGAGGGUACCAAUGCACUUUUCCACUCCGGAAUGGCUUUUCGCUCUUUGAACCAAUUCAAAGGCCCACCACAGAGGGUACAACGCCAAACUCAUACAACUUUGCAAGGUGCAUCUCACAAAGUGCAUUACGGUCUCCGUCAUUCUUGGUGGUAGCGCAAGUCAAAACUCGACGCCUCUACGUGCUCCAACACCAGUCACCACUAGGCAUGCAAGAACUCUUCUUUGCAUUUACCCUCCCUUUAGGGAGCAUAAUCCAAUUCCAUUACUCAAACUCCCCGUGGCUUGAUACUAGCUCAAGGCCUCACCAAGAGCACUUUAUCUUCUAAUACCAUAUGCCACGGUCAAUCUCAUAUCACUCUCGUAACGAGCUCACACGAAUGCUUUGUUCGUGAAUUUGAGCCAAACCUCUCGAUAAGGCUAUCCACCAAAUCGCUUUCCUCGGUUUCCAUAGGUGGACCAAAGGCCACCAAUACUACGUAGGCCUACUGCCUAAACCUGCCUCAACAUAUGCGCAGCGUCUCUCGCUCGCAAGCAUAGACCCAAUCAUGAUCGGGGGCGAAGUUCUCACUUGAGAAUUCACACACACUCCAAUCAGGAGCAACUAAAGUCCCAAACCAUAUCAAGUCCUCGGGUUGGGUCACUACCGCACUCUCGGUAUACUAUCAGUCACACCACACACUCUAUCGAGCACACGUACAAUUGUAAGAUAUGGAUCCCGAGGAUCUAAAAGGUAAUUAACACCUAGAGGGGGGUGAAUAGGUGUAAAAACGGCAAACUCAAAAAUCUCGAUGCAAAUAAAACGAAACAGCGGAAAAGAAAACAGCACACCGAGAAUUUAAUGUGGGAAAACUCCAAAUCGGAGUGAAAAACCCACGGGACCAAUCACGCAAAGAAAAUCCACUAAGAAAACAUGAGUACAAGUGAUUUUGACCAAAACACACGACUCAAUUUACCAAUUUCCCGUAGAUGAUGAUCUUCGCCGGUCCUCGAUCGAUAAGAAUCCUCCAAUCGAUCUCACUGCAACUCCUUGCAGCGUCAACGCCUCAACUCCUUGAAGCGUCCACCGAAUCCUCGGCUACACGUGAACUCCACACGUCGAAUCUCCUUCCGGAGCUUGUAGAAUUGAAGAUUUGUGGUGAUUAAGCUUUAGAAUCCCAUAAGCUAUGAGGAUCUACCUUUAAUCAAACAUCUACUUGAUUCUCGUAUGAUUUCUCGAGUAAAAACAAAGAAUCAAGUCGAUUGUUGAUCGUUAGAAACUUGUUAUUAGAAUCAAACCAUAAGAACAAGAAUAACUAGUUUCUAGGGUUUAGAAUCAGUAGAAAUUCAAAGCCUUACCUCUUUAGAUGACCCUCAUAGCUUAUUUAUAUGUUUAGAAGACUUAGAAAUAGACUAGGAUUGUAAAAAGUCCUUUUUAAAAACCUGUGUCGUCCUCAGAGACCGGUCUUCUCGAGGAGACCGGUCUGUGAGAGACCGGUCUCUCAAGUGAGGAACCGGUCCCUCGCUGCGUGACCAAAAUCACAACGUUCGGGAACCGGUCUCUCAAGCUUGAGACCGGUCCCUCGCUGCGCGACAGAAUCACCAAGGUUCGGGAACCGGUCUCUCAUCACAGGGGACCGGUUGCAUCAAGGUUCACGCAGUGAGGACCUUAGGGGAACCGGUCUCUUGAACUCAGAGACCGGUCCCAGAACACAGAAAAGUUCAGUAAAGUAGUUUUAAAGCCAUCUAAGCCUUCUGAACUUAUUCUAAUUAGAUAUCUUCACCACAAAUGAUCUUUUCUUCAUACCUUAGGUGUCGAGCUUUCCGAAUAAGUCUUUGUUCUUUAAUUUGAAUCUUUUCUUCAAAACUUCUGCGAUCAACUCUUCAAGACUCCAACGAACUUUACGAAAUUCGCCAACCUAUAAAAUCCUUAACAACAACUACCAGCUCCUAAGCACCUAGUGCGAGCCACCAUUCCCACGAGUGAUCCAUCGCACGCUUCACACGUAGCAAAGCUCAAAUGCUACUGCCAACACUCACUCGGCUGAGCUAAAUUCGCACUCUACGAGUAACUAUACUCGAGCAUCGUACGCUUUCCAUACUUAAUCCAGCAUUAGGCGACUUGCCUAUGCACAUCAAUUUCACGAGCACAAUUGCCCUACCUCACAUCGAGGUACAACUAGGCCCACAGGCCAAAACUUGGCACUAACCAUCUACUCUCUCAACAGUGAUUCACUUUCACUGUUCGAUCUACCGGAACGACAUCCAAAAUUUUCGAAUUACUCGGGUGUCCUCAAAUAUCAUGGCUCAACUGUCGCAAUCUACUAAUUAAGUUGCUCUGAAAGUUGCUUCACUAUUUCCAUCUGUACCACAACUCUUAUCAUUAGACCAUCACUAGCAACUUGCUAGUGCUAUCUAGUUCUCUACCUGCGCCGGCAGGUGCUACGCUCUCACAACGCAAACACGCUCGGGUAUCUACACUUACCCAUCCUCUUGGUCCCUACUGUACUAAGGUAUGAGUAGUAGUAAAUGACCGUAUGCUCAAUGCAUGCAAUGCACCAACUCUACAUCAUGCAAAAAUACAUGAUUACAUCAAUUAAAUCAUACCUGCCAUGAAGUCGUCAGUAGCAGCAGGUCCCUCAACUUGGGUCGCGUAUCCAUGGCCACUUGCAGCCUGUCGCGAACCCCUCAGUUGCAUCAUCCUCGACGGCCGCUCUUCUGACCAUGCCGCAGGUGGCACACCUGCGGGCUGUCCCGGAGAGGAAAAGGCCGUCAACAAUGUCAAAGCCCGGCUAUCACCUUGCGAACACUCAUCCCGUAUAUGGCACGGCUGCCCACAACGAAGGCAUCUCCCAUCGCGCUGUACACAUCACCGUGCCCAAUGAGAACCGCCACAAAUCACACAGCCUGGGGAGGAUCGGGUAGAGGACGGCUUCGAGUGUUGCCUAGAACUCGGCUGACCAACCGAACCGCGCGAUAAUGGCCUCACCCCUCCUUGCUCAUGCUUAUGAGAGAUGCGCUCCUCAUGCACGAAAGCCUCACCAUGCUCUGCCCACAAUGCUCGAUCCAACACCUCUGCGAAGGUUGUGAGCUUGAGGAUUUGCACCUUCUUAUAAAUAUCUGGUUGAAGUCCAUGUAAAAAUCAAUCGGCCAUAUCCUUGUCAUCCCGUACCAUAUCCGGGACACAAUUCACGAUACGGGAGAAUUCCCGUUCGUAUUCUCUCACAGAGCGGUCUCCUUGCCGCAGCUUCCUAAACCUGUCCUGAAGCUUUCUCUUUUCACAGUCGGGGAAGUACGUAGAAAACACCAAUCCCCAAAACUCUUCCCAAACCAUAGGGGAAAGAUUAGACGAUCGGUUCCGCCGAAUGCCUUUCCACCACACCUUCGCCGAUUGCUUCAAGCAAUGCACGGCUAGGGGCACCUUGUCCCGCUCUAAUGUGUACAGCUCCUCGAAGAGCGUUUCCAUGGAGUCAAUCCACAUCUCCACGAUCCACGGAUCGACAUUCUCGCCAUCAAAAGUAGGCGGAUCGAACUUCUGGAAGGUCAUGAGAGCUGCCAAAGCUCGCUCUUUCUCUGCCUCCACUGCCGCACUUUCGGGAGUCGGAUCGCCCGAUCCCGACGGAGCAGUCUCCGCCUCAACACCCGGCCGUCCUCGACGAGCCGCAGCUGGUGCAACCACCAGCUGGUCUACUGUUUCUUGAAGUCUUUUAAUUCGCUCCUCCUGGCGCAUAGCAACCUCCUGCUAUCGCUGCGCCACAUCAGCUUGUUGCCUCACCACACCCACAAGUGUGGCCAACUGUUCACGAAGUUCCAAGUCUUCGCUCGCCUCUUAUUGCUCGGGGACACCACUUGUCCCUCCCCGCGUCGAUCUGGACGAAGAUUGCCUACGCGGUGCCAUCGUUUCCUGAAACAUGACAACUCGAUUAAUCCUCAACCUUUGUAGGUCGAGCACAAAACAAUUAACAUCGACUCAAUUCGGGCGAAAGUCAUACAAGGGCAUUUAUUCUCAUCACUCGGUUUCAUGUUGUACACGUCCAAAAUGAACACCCUCGGUUGAGAAGAAACCACACCUUGAAUCUGCCUCUAAUAUCCUUUUUAGAGGUUUACAACAUAACCCAAUCAUUAACCUUUCGCCACAAGUCUCAAGUUCUCGUCUCUCACGAGCCUUAAUCUCCUAUGGUUUACUAUCCUAGGGUCUCCUAGGUCCAUCUAAAUCAUUUUCUUUAUAUUCUUUUUUUGUUCUUUUUAUGCUCUGAUACCAUCUUAUCUGUCACGCCCCGAGCCCAUCUAUUUGGUCGGUUUCGGGCACGCCAACAGACCGCAGAACGAAUAGGGUUUCCCCUGUACCGCGGACAGAGUCUCUCCUGUACGUCCAAGGCGUUACUGUCACGCCCCGCCCCGAAACCACUACAAUUUGGCACGAUUUGGGCGCGGCGAGCGGACUGCCGAACGGACAGCACCUCCCUUGUCCGCCCAAGGCUCAACAACAGGAAUGUGUACAAGAAUUUAUUCAGGAAUUUAAAUCCUAAACAUACACAUUCAACGGGGCACAAAUAGUGCCAGCAACUACAAGAGCAAGUCAUCCUUUUCAUUUACAUCAUUUUCUUUAAAUGAAUACAUCUUUCAUCCAAAAUGCAUAGCUCUCCAAAUCCUCACCUACAAUGAAUCUCUCUCAAUACAUAGGUGUACUAAUGCGAAAAGGAAAACUACUAUGCUACCACGGUCUCACUGGUCGGGCGCGAUGCCCUUGCCGCGGUCCUCUCUCGGCAGCCUUGUACCUACCACUGGAAAUAAAGUGGGGUGAGAACUAUCUUCCAUACUUCCCAGUGGGCUCGGCCGCUGACUCUGCCGAUCUCCCCACUAGGUCCAAGUGGGCACAUGCAACAACGGAUAGAUAGAUAGAUAGAUAUCUGAAAACUGUAAAUGCAAUAGUAGAAAAACUAUGCUACUAUGCCCAUAAUCAUGUAUAAUGGAUGCAUGCAUCAUAUAGUAAAGGUUUACUAUCAUGCUAACGAAUUCGAUCCAUGUUCGAAUGAUAAUGUUCAAUGACAUUGUUCAUUGUUCUUUUUACCCAAUCUGUAGCGAAGCCCUUGGGUUCGCCAAUAACUCACCUUUCAAUCCCAAAGUGGGGAGGGAGCUCCAAGUCUACCCAAGCCCGGGACCGUCUGCGGACCUCCAUGUGGUCCGGACCUCCAAGUGAUCAUAGUCGCACGACACUCCGGAGUACUCGACGAUAAUCCCCUCCAUGUGGGGAUAUGGAUGGCUAUACCACCCCAAAGGGAGACUGUGAGCUAGAUCUAUCCUCUCCAAGUGAGGAUACCAUACAACUAGGGUCAACAACCCAAUCGAAUCCUCUCCAAGUGAGGAUGCUCUACAACUAGAGUCAACAACCCAAUCAAAUCCUCUCAAAGUGAGGGUACUUAGGUUUACUAAGUUCUUUAUCUACAAGGCAUUUUCUAUGGGAUCCACCUAUCCCUAGGUUCUCAAACCUCUAGUGUCAUUUACACUACAUUAAUGCCACUCGUUAUUCUUUAACAUUUGGAUGCCACUCGUUUGUUCUUUGACAUUAAACACUACUUUCUAUGUCAUCAACACCCCCAUCGGGUUCAUCUCUAUCCUUUCGCAUCAUAGGAUCCACGUUCCGACCCAAUCCUUACCUAUCUAAGUUACCAAGCGUUCCAAGUACACUAGGUUAUCAAUUAGAAAGCAUAAGGAAUGGAGCUACUAUGCAAUCCUACAAUGCAACAUGUAAGAGAUGAGAUUAAAUGCAAUCUAAGACAUAAAAAGGAGUUCGAAAGCUUCGGGAUGGCACCCCCCACCUUUUAUCGAUGUAGAGGCUUUAGAAACGCUCCUCGGCGAACCUUACGACGUGGUCUCGGCCUUCUUGGUCCAAGACAAGGUUAAGUCGGCCGUAUUUUGCCGAUAGCUCCCAAUCCACUAGUCGAAUCGUAAAAUCGACUUCGCCCUCGCGUUUUGUGACCUACCAAUUAGGUUUACAAUGCAUCAAAUGAGAUCAAUCUCAUACUUUACCAAAAAAUUCCAUUUUGGGUGCCCUAGGGUUCCCAUCUUGCCAUUGCAAUUUGGAACCCUAACUCUAGCUUUGAUCCACCAAUAAUGGUGCUAGGGGUCCAUUUGACCCCAUUUCCAAAGCUCAAAAUCCAAAAACCCUAAGUUCUACAAGCUAGGGUUUGUAGCCUACCUAUUGAGCUACACCAAUGGAGAGGAGAGAAAGAGAGGAAGAUGCUCAAAGCCUUCUCCUUGAUCUCCUUAUUCUUCUCCACCUUCUUCUCUUUCUUAUUUUUUCUUUUCUUCUUCUCCUCCUUCUCUUCUUCCUUUUAUUUCUAGAGAGAGAGAGAGCAAGAGAGUGUGAGAAAGGGAAAGAGAUGAGGGGAUGAGAAUGAGAGGGAGAGAGGGUAAUUUCCCAUAUACACCCCUCAUAUGGUGGCCAUUUUGCACUUAAACCCCUCCACUUUUCCAUCCUUGCACUGCCUUCUGGGCAGAAUUGGCGCGGAGGGACCGGUCUCCCCGACUUGGGACCAGUCCCCGAGAACCUCCCUCGGGCGCACGCGUUCGGGAACCGGUCUCUCCCUGAGAGACCGGUCCUCGGAAGACCGGUUCCUCUCGGAGAGACCGGUUCCCGAGAGCUGAAUUUUCGGGACUUAGCCAAAUUUCGGCAUUUCUUGCUGGGACCACGUUCGGGGACCGGUCCCUCCCUGCCAGAGACCGGUUACAUCAAGCAACCCCGCUACACCCAGCCGAUGGAACCGGUCUCUCACCUCCACAGACCGGUCCCUGAGAGUAACAUCAGCCUAAUGAUGCAGUUUGCACCAUUUGCUCUCGUGGACUCAACUCCAAGGCACUUUUUGUGCUUUGGACAUCUUUAACUUCCCCAAAGGGUAUUCUCUCGACAAUAGUCGAUCCUGGACGAAGUACAACUCUCGAAUUUCGAGAAUUCACUUCCUUACAGUUACAAUCCAAACAAUGCAAUGCAUGAGGUUCCAACCUGUAACACACUGGACCUUUGCAAAUUGCGAGGUUCGAAUGAUUGGAUGUGUUUCGAGCUUUUCCACACUUGGUGGAGGGUCGUAGAAUGUUUUUCGGUCCAAAAAGUUCGAAAACCUGAGUUCUGGACGAGUCCUGAGAGUUUUCACUCUCGGGGACCGGUCCCUGAAAGAAGAGACCGGUCCGCUUGUGAGUAGUGUUGCGCUGUCGGCGAGGCAACCUGUCACACCCCGCGACCAACCGCCAAUUUGGACCGGGCCGCGGCGCCGACGACAGACCGCCGAACGGACCGGGGUUUCCCCUAUACGCGGACAGAGUCUCCCCAGUACGUCCUAGGUGUCGCAAUCCAAAACAAUACAAAUGGUUCCAACCAGGAACAGAUAUCAAUUUUGAUUGCGUAAGGAAGUAUCAAACAACAUAAACACAUCCUAUGUUAUUACAUGCAUUCACAUUAGAUUCAUUUAUUUCCAUCAACUUCCAAACCAACUAAGUUAUUACAAAUUUAAUACAUUUAUUCCUCUCAUUUUCUAUACCCCUAAGCUACGUCGACGGGGUACUGCUAGCUCUGGUCUCUGGGGAUAGGAGGCUAUCUAUGGAGCUACGCCCUUGCCUCGCGCCGCCGCGCCGCUCACGUGCGAACCUGUAAAACCCCAAAACAACGUGGGGUGAGAAACAACUCCAUGGUUCCCAGUGGGUACGGCCACCCAAGGGAGGAGCUCGACAAACAGGUCCAAGGGAGGCAAAUACAAGUUAGUCCAAUAAACAGAUAGAUAUGUAUAUCAUAAACAUGCAACUAACUUUACCUUGCUUUGCCUCACAACUGCAAUGAUGCCAUGCUAUAUGCAACAGGAAUAUAUGCAACAUAAAUAUAUGCAACAACUAGUAGAAUUAUUGAUUCUAUAAUCAAUCUCGCUAAUCUUAGCUCAUGUCAUCCAACUCUAAGGUUUCUACUACCUUAGGUUUACACAUUUACCACUAGCCCUCAAGAUUCUAUCUACCUUAUUCCAGCUAGCCACCGGACUCAGCCUCGAGUCAAUCAACAGCAGAUAAUCCGCGCUCUGCCCGGCUCGAGGUGAAGGACCCUGUCACAACGCACCUCAGCCUGCAAGCCAAGAACCACAUCGCCCAACGGUCCGCCCGAAGGUCCGUGCACCGUGGUCAGGGAUCCGCCAGAGGGAGAGGAACAUAGCCGCAUACACCCAUAGCCAAGACCCCCGAUAGGGAAAGGAACAUGCCGCGUACACCCUAGCGCUCUUUGUUCUUACUUAGUCACAAUCCUCAAAGUUCUUCCUUCUUCCGGUGGGAGAGGAACAUGCCACAUACACCCGCGGUCCAAGAACUAUUGAGUUCACAAGUCUCGAGAUUUCGUAAUCCACUUCACAAGUCAAGGGUCCAUAUCCAACCCUAUACUAUUGACCUAUCUAGGUCCAAUGCACUUUUCACCCUAGGUCCAACUGACUCUAGGUCUAAUGCCUCGAUGUCACAACCUAGGUUUACUUUAACUCUAGGUUCAGUUCUCAACCUAUGUUCUUUAACACUAGGUUAGAUGCCACACACCUAGAUCCCGACUCUAGGUUCAUACUCAACCUAUGUUCUUUAACACUAGGUUAGAUGCCACUCGUUAUUUAUCCUAGGUUCAACAACGCUAGGUUCAAUGUCAUUUAUGUCCGACCUAUGUUUAACACUAGGUUAGUGCCACUCGAUCUACUUGAUUUCCUAUUUGUCAUAUCGAGUCCAUUUGCACAUGCAUCUUAUCUAACAUGCUCACAUGACGUUACAUGCAUCUAGCAUACAUUUCCAAUGCACACAUACAUUUGCAUUAUCACCAGCAUGCAUUCUAUAUCAUAUCAUUUUACAUGGAUCUACUUAGCAUUUACAUCAUAUUAUUAACAUGCAUUAGCUACAUGAAUCAACCACAUGCUUUAUUUACAUUUAUAUGCAUCAUCAUGGAUUCUUAAUCAUCUUAGACAUAAAGGGCGACCUAGUCGCUUCGGUAAACAUAGCCCAACUUAACUCGCGUUCCGAUUGCUCGUUGACACUUGCAAUAGGCUUCCCGCGGCACUCGGCACCCGUUUGGGCCCUAACUCACAGUUGCUCUCCAAGAGCGCGCUGCUGCGCCGUUUCAAGUGCUAACGGUCUUCGCCUCGCCGUUACGAUGCUCGGGACCCGAUUUCAUGAUUUAUGGACGUCGCCUCGGCCCUCCAGGCGGAAACGAAGCUUCAAGCGUCCAUUUCUUCAAUAUCUUUGUAACGGCUCAUCGGAUUGCCGAAUCGUCUUCGCCAACGUGUUUCGUUACCUAUCAAUUAGGUUUACAGAGGGUUAAAUGAGAUCAAACCCUCAUAUAUAUCAAAACGCCAUUUUGGAGCCCUAGGUUUGCAUCUAAGCAAAAACCACCAUUUGAACUCUAGAUUCAAGCAUUAAACAUCUAUUAAGCUUGCUAGAAUUGCAUCUAAACCAUCCUUAGGGUGCAUAAACCAAACCCUAAGAAGUUACCAUUAGAGCCCUAGAAGCUUACCUCUCUAGGUUUGCUCCAAGCACGAGGAAGACGAAGGAGAGGAUGAAGAUCCCCUUCUUGAUCUUCUUCUCCUUCUUCUUCUUCUUUCUCUCCUUCUCCUUCCUCUUCUUCUUCCUCUCCUUCUAUUUCGUUUAGAGAGAGAGAGGGACACGUUUGGGGCUAAACGGGUGAGGGAGGAGAGAGGAAGACCUAAUUUCCUCUUCUAUACACUUAACCCAUGCAUAAAAUGCAAAUAAACCCCUCUACAAUGCCUCUCUUGCAACAACCCGAACUGGGCAUUUUAGGGGUUCGGGGACUGGUCUCUGCAUGCGGGACCGGUCCCUGAGAGACCGGUCUCUCUGCUUGGGACCGGUCCUAGAGAGACCUCCAGCCCAGACUUAGCCAAUUUUCAGCUUCGUCCGUUUUCGCUCCGUUUUCGCCCGUUUUCGUUCAUUUGACCUCCGAUUCAUUUCAAAUCGAACCGAGACUCUCCAAAUAUAUUUUCAAACAUGUUUUCAUCAUCUUUCCAUCCUCGCUAAUGCCGGAUUUAGCUCACGGCCCAACUUAGCCUUUCGGGUUCCGUUUUCGCGCCUAUGCGCACUGAAAUGCCCGAUUGCUCCAGAACUUCACUGAACCUCACGAAACCAUCCAAAUGGCUUUCCAAAGCAACGUACACCAUAACUUCAUAGUUUUAGAAGUCCGGUACCUUACAUCCUCUCCUCCUUAAAAGAGUUUCGUCCCCGAAACUAACUCACUUCAAUCCAAUUAAUACUCUAACUUGGUUUAUCGAGCAAUGGGGGAUUCCAAUGCACUUUUGUGUUCCGGAGUGGUCUUUUACUCAUUGGGAUUAUCCAAAGGCCCACUACGGAGGAUGUGAGACUAGAUUCACUCACAUUUGCUAAGCGUAACUCUGAAAGUGCAUUACGGGUCUCCGUCAUUCCUGGUGGUAGCGCAAGUCGAAGCUCAACGACUCUACGCGCUCCAACACCAUUCACCAUCUGGCAUGCAAGGACUCUUCUUUGCAUUCCACACCUUGUCAGGGAACACACUCCGAUUCGAUUACCGGCGUUGCUUAGAAGCAAUAUCCUUGGUGCAUCGACCCAUCGCGAGUGCUCCAAUCACAUUUGGACUUUUCUCUACCGUGAGAUGGCCUACCCCGGCAUAUCUCAAACCUCCAAUUCUCAAGAGAGCAUUGUCCACAACUCCAUGCGGCUAUCUGGUAUUCAAGUGUCUCCAAGAGACCACUUUUCUUUAUUUCUCAAUUGCCACUUUUAACCUCAAAUUGCUCUACUACGAGAUGGCCUACCCUGGCACAUCUCUCGAACUUCAAUCGACGAAAGAGUGUUAUCUCCAAGUUUUCCAAGUUUUCCCAGCAUAACCCAGCCUGCCCGGGCAAGUUUCAUACUCGGGGACCAGUCUCUCCCGCCAGGGACCGGUCCUAGAGGACCUUCUCUAAUUCACGCGUUCGGGAACCGGUCUCCCUGGCCCAGGGACCGGUUGCCUCGCGCGUCGUUGCAACCACUAGCCGGUGGGACCGGUCUCUCCCUGCCAGGGACCGGUCCCCGAGAGCAAUUUCUGCCAAGUGUAGAUUUUUGCAUAACUUGCUCUCGCGGAUCCGUUACAAUGCACUUUUGGUGCAUUUGACUUCUUCAGCUUUUACAAAGCACUCCCACUCGACAAUUAGUCGAUCUUGAGCGAAGUUCAACUCUCGUAUUUCGAGAAUUCACUUCCCUACUCCAACUCCUCCACAGAGUUAUCGGCUAAACCGAUUACGUCGGCUUUCACAGGUGGACCAACAGUCACCAACAUCACGUAAGCCUACCGCCUAAACCCGUCGCAACUACGCAUAGCGUCUCUCGCUCGCAUCGUAGACCCAAUCCUCAUUUCCUGGCGAAUUUCUCACUUGGGAAUUCGCACACACUCCAACAGGAGCAACCAAGACUCCAAACCACACCAUGUCCUCGGGUUGGGUCACCACACAUUCGGUGUGUCCUCGAUCUUAUGAUCUAACACGUGGCAUUCCACGUACUCGGGUCUAAGCUCGGACUAUCGUCCUGACCAAAACUCUCCGCCCUACCUAUAAGUAUCGGGCCGCUGUCUCUCACAGCUGACUGCGCCGGCCCAAUGGGCUCAGGCUCCACAGUCCACAACUGGUCCAGGCACGGGUCGUCCCCAAGCACUACCCGCCAACGUCGUCCUACACGACAUGCUCUACAGAGCUACACACUCUAUCGGCUCCUAGGCACCUAGUGCGAGCCACCAGCCCUCACGAGUGAUCCAUGGCCCGCUUCACACUUAGCCCUGCUGAAGUGCUACUGCCAAUUCACUCGACCGGCUGAAUCAAAACCGCACUUCACGAGUAUCUAUACUCGAGCGCUCUAUGCCUCUACGACGUCUCACACGAAGUCCAGCAUCAGGGAGCUUAGCCCAUGCGCACCGGCCACACGAGCAACAACUCGUCCACCUCAAUUCGAGGUACUACUAGGCCCACAGGCCAAACUUGGCCUCAACCAACCGCUCUCUCAACAGUGAUUCUACUUUCACUGUUCAAUCUACCGAAACAACAUCCGAGAUGCUCAGGCCACUCGGGUAUUCGCAACGUCACGGCGCAACUCUCGCAAUUUGAUACUCAUUGCCUUGAGAGUCGCUCCACCAUUUCACGUUCACCACAAGUCCCAUUCUUCGUCCAAGAACCAUCGCUAGCGAUUCGCUAGUGUCUCUUGGCUUUCUACCUGCUCCAGUAGGCGCUACACUCUCACGAUGCAAGCAUGCUCGGGUGCUUACCUACUCGACCACUCGGUCCCUACUAUGCAAUAUGUAAUUAGUAGGUGCUGCUCAUAUAAUAAAUGCAUGCAAUGCAUCAACUUGAGAUUACGCAAAAGCAUAUGCUUAUUUAAUUAACUCAUACCUGCAACGGCAUCAUCGAUGGCAGCAGGUUCCUCAACCUGGGUCGCAUAUCCCUGGCCACUUAGUGCUCGCCGCGAACCCUCCAAUUGCAUCGUCCUCAACGGCCGCUCCCCCGAUCAUGCCGCAGGUGGCACACCUGGAGGCUGUCCCAGAGAGGAAUGGGCCGUCGCCAGCAUCAAGGCCUGGCUCUCACUUUGCGGGCACUCGUCCCGCACAUGGCCGGGCUGUCCACAACGGAUACACCGUCCAUCACGCAGCGCACAUCGCCGCGCCUGGUGGGAACCACCACAAAUCACACAUCCAGAGGAGGAUCGGGUAGAGGAUGACCUCGAGCGGUGUCUGGAACUUGACUGAUCACCCGAACCACUCGAUAAUGGCCUCGCCUCUCCUCGCUCAUGCCAACGAGAUUCGCGCUCCUCACGCACGAAAGCCUCGCCAUGCUCCGCCCAUAAAGCCCGAUCCAACACCUCGGCAAAGGUUGUGAGCUGGAAGAUUUGCACCCUCCUAUAAAUCUCCGGUCGGAGUCCACGCAGGAACCAAUCGGCCUUAUCCCUGUCAUCCCGUUCCACAUCCGGGACACAAUUCACGAUGCGGGAAAAUUUUCGUUCGUAUUCCCUCACAGAGCAGUCUCCUUGCCGCAGCUUCCUGAACUUGUCCCGAAGCUUUCUCCUUUCAUUGUCGGGGAAGUACGUAGAAAACAUUAAUCCCCGAAAUUCAUCCCACGCCAUAGGAGGAAGACUAGGUGAUCGAUCCCGUCGAAUGCCUUUCCACCACGCCUUUGCUGAUUGCUUCAAGCAAUGCACAGCUAGGGGCACCUUGUCCCGCUCCAAGGUGUAUAGCUUCUCAAAUAGCGUCUCCAUGGAGUCAAUCCACAUCUCCACGAUCCACGGAUCGACAUCCUCUCCAUCGAAGAUAGGCAGAUCGAAUUUCUUGAAGGUCAUUAGGGUCGCCAAAGUCCGUUCUUUCUCCGCCUCCAAUUCCACAGAACCAGGGGCCACCGCCCCCGAAUCCAUCGCGACUCCUGUUGGUACACGGCACGCUGCUACCGGCGCAGCCGCCGCAGGCUGUCGUGUCUACAAUUCAUAGAGCUCCUUGAUCUGCUCCUCCUGUCGCUGCACUAUACCCAUGAGCGUAUUCAAUUGCUCGCGGAGCAUCGGGUCUCCGCUCACCUCAGUUUGCUCAGGAACACCACUUGUCCCUUCCCGCACCGAUCUGGAUAAGGAUCGCCUACGCGGUGCCAUCGCUUCCUGAAACACGACAACUCGAUUAGUUCUCGACCAACUUGGGUCUAACACGAGACCACUAACAACGGCUCAAAAGCCAAUUAGGCGAAAGUCACGCGAGGGCGUCUAUUCUCAUCACUAGGUUUCAUGUUGUCGUACGCCAACAUGAACAUCCUCGGCUGAGAAUAAACCACACCUCAAGUCUACCUCUAAUAUCCGUCUUAGAGAUUUAUGACACAACCCAAUCCAUUAAGCUUUCGCCACAAUUCAUAGGUCCUCGUCUCUCACGAGCCUUAUUCUCCUAUGGUUUACUAUCCUAGGGUCUCCUAGGUCUGCCUAAACCAUUCUCAUUCUCUACUUUAUUCUCUGAUACCACUUUAUCUGUCACGCCCCGCGACCAACCGCCAAUUUGGACCGGGUCGCGGCGCCGACGACAGACCGCAGAACGGACCGGGGUUUCCCCUGUACGCGGACAGAGUCUCCCCAGUACGUCCUAGGGGUCGCAAUCCAAAACAAUAUAAAUGGUUCCAACCAGGAACAGAUAUCAAUCAUGAUUAAGGAAGUAUCAAACAAUAUAAACACAUCCUAUGUUAUUACAUGCAUUCACGUUAGAUUCAUUUAUUUACAUCAACUUCCAAACCAACUAAGUUAUUACAAGUUUAAUACAUUUAUUCCUCUCAUUUUCUAUACCCCUAAGCUACGUCAACGGGGUACUGCUAGCUCUGGUCUCUGGGGGUAGGGCGCUAUCUAUGGAGCUACGCCCUUACCUCGCGCCGCCGCGCCGCUCACGUGCGAACCUGUAAAACUACAAAACAACGUGGGGUGAGAACCAACUCCAUGGUUCCCAGUGGGUACGGCAACCCAAGGGAGGAGCUCGACCAACAGGUCCACGGGAGGCAAAUACAAGUUAGUCCAAUAAACAGAUAGAUAUGUAUAUCAUAAGCAUGCAACUAACUUUACCUUGCUUUGCUUCACAACUGCAAUGAUGCCAUGCUAUAUGCAACAGGAAUAUAUGCAACAUAAAUAUAUGCAACAACUAGUAGAAUUAUUGAUUCUACAAUCAAUCUCGCUAAUCUUAGCUCAUGUCAUCCAACUCUAAGGUUUUUACUACCUUAGGUUUACACAUUUACCACUAGCCCUCAAGGUUCUAUCUACCUUAUUCCAGCUAGCUACCCGACUCGGCCUCGAGUCAAUCAACAGCAGAUAAUCCAUGCUCUGCCCGGCUCGGGGUGAAGGACCCUGUCACAACGCACCUCAGCCUGCAAGCCAAGAACUACAUCGCCCAACGGUCCGCCCGAAGGUCCGUGCACCGUGGUCAGGGAUCCGCCAGAUGGAGAGGAACAUAGCCGCAUACACCCAUAGCCAAGACCCCCGAUAGGGAGAGGAACAUGCCGCGUACACCCUAGCGCUCUUUGUUCUUACUUAGUCACAAUCCUCAAAGUUCUUCCGGUGGGAGAGGAACAUGCCACAUACACCCGCGGUCCAAGAACUAUUGAGUUCACAAGUCUCAGGAUUUCGUAAUCCACUUCACAAGUCAAGGGUCCAUAUCCAACGCUAUACUAUUGACCUAUCUAGGUCCAAUGCACUUUUCACCCUAGGUCCAACUGACUCUAGGUCUAAUGCCUCGAUGUCACAACCUAGGUUUACUUUAACUCUAGGUUCAGUUCUCAAUCUAUGUUCUUUAACAAUAGGUUAGAUACCACACACCUAGAUCCCGAGUCUAGGUUCAUACUCAACCUAUGUUAUUUAACACUAGGUUAGAUGCCACUCGUUAUUUAUCCUAGGUUCAACAACACUAGGUUCAAUGUCAUCUAUGUCCGACCUAUGUUUAUUAACACUAGGGCCACUCAAUCUACUUGAUAUCCUAUUUGUCAUAUCGAGUCCAUAUGCAAAUGCAUCUUAUCUAACAUGCUCACAUGAUGUUACAUGCAUCUAGCAUACAUUUCCAAUGCACACAUACAUUUGCAUUAUCACCAGCAUGCAUUCUAUAUCAUAUCAUUUUACAUGGAUCUACUUAGCAUUUACGUCAUAUUAUUAACAUGCAUUAGCUACAUGAAUCAACCACAUGCUUUAUUUACAUUUAUAUGCAUCAUCAUGGAUUCUUAAUCAUCUUAGACAUAAAGGGCGACCUAGUCGCUUCGGUAAACACAACCCACCUUAACUCGCGUUCCGAUUGCUCGUCGACACUUGCAAUCGGCUUCCCGCGGCACUUGGCACCCGUUUGGGCCCGAUCUCACAGUUGCUCUCCAAGAGCGCGCCGCUGUGCCAUUUCAAGUGCUAACGAUCUUCGCCUCGCCGUUACGAUGCUCGGGACCCGAUUUCACGAUUUAUGGACGUCGCCUCGGCCCUCCAGGCGGAAAUGAAGCUUCAAGCGUCCGUUUCUUCAAUAUCUUUGUAACGGCUCGUCGGAUUGCCGAACUGUCUUCGCCAAUGUGUUUCGUUACCUAUUAAUUAGGUUUGCACAGAGUUAAAUGAGAUCAAACCCUCAUAUAUAUCAAAACGCCAUUUUGGAGCCCUAGGUUUGCAUCUAAGCAAAAACCACCAUUUGAACUCUAGAUUCAAGCAUUAAACAUCUAUUAAGCUUGCUAUAAUUGCAUCUAAACCAUCCUUAGGGUGCAUAAACCAAACCCUAAGAAGUUACCAUUAGAGCCCUAGAAGCUUACCUCUCUAGGUUUGCUCCAAGCACGAGGAAGACGAAGGAGAGGAUGAAGAUCCCUUUCUUGAUCUUCUUCUCCUUCUUCUUCUUCUUUCUCUCCUUCUCCUUCCUCUUUUUCUUCCUCUCCUUCUAUUUCGUUUAGAGAGAGAGAGGGACACGUUUGGGGCUAAACGGGUGAGGGAGGAGAGAGGAAGACCUAAUUUCCUCUUCUAUACACUUAACCCAUGCAUAAAAUGAAAAUAAACCCCUCUACAAUGCCUCUCUUGCAACAGCCCGAACUGGGCAUUUUCGGGGUUCGGGGACCGGUCUCUGCAUGAGGGACCGGUCCCUGAGAGACCGGUCUCUCUGCAUGGGACCGGUCCCAGAGAGACCUCUAGCCCAGACUUAGCCAAUUUUCAGCUUCGUCCGUUUUCGCUCUGUUUUCGCCUGUUUUCGUUCGUUUGACCUCCGAUUCAUUUCAAAUCGAACAGAGACUCUCCAAACAUAUUUUCAAACAUGUUUUCAUCAUCUUUCCAUCCUCGCUAAUGCCGGAUUUAGCACACGGCCCAACUUAGCCUUUCGGAUUCUGUUUUCGCGCCUAUGCGCACUGAAAUGCCCGAUUGCUCUAGAACUUCACCGAACCUCACGAAACCAUCCAAAUGGCUUUGCAAAGCAACGUACACCAUAACUUCAUAGUUUUAGAAGUCUGGUACCUUACACAACCGGUCCCUGGUGGGCGAGACCGGUCCCCGAGCGCGUCUUCGCAGUAAGAGACCGGUCCCGCGCAGGGAGAGACCGGUUCCCGAACGUUGGUUUCUCCGGUUCAACACGAGAGAUCGGUCCCUUGCAGGGAGAGACUAGUCUCUUUGGGCGUAAACCGCCCAGUCUGGGCUGUUGUAAAUUUGAGUUUUUGAGGGGCCUCUCUGGAUUUUGUUGCUCUAAAUGGUCUUUAUAGCCAUUUCACUCUCUUCCCUCCUCAUUUCUCACCCUCUCUCUACACCUUCUAGAGAGAGAAGAAGAAGCAGGAGGAGAAGAAGAAGAGGAGCUUGCUUGAGGAAGCUUGGAGCUCAAACCCUUUCUCUCCUUUCCACUUGAGGCAUCUAAAGAGGUUAGCACUUCGAUUCUACCCUUUGAUCCUUAUUUUGGUAGAUUUUACCAUAUGAAACCCUAAAAUGGAAAAUCUAGGGUUUAUUUGGGGCUUUUUGCUUGGAGGCUUUUUGAGCUAAUCUAAUGAGAUUAAAAACCUUGGUUUAGGUUGCUUUGGGAGGAUCCUAGCCUUCUUUUGGAGCUUGUGAGGGUUUUUCUCCACCUAGGUGAGAUUUUAAUCCUUUUUGCCUUGUUGGUUAAUGUUUGAUCUUAUAGAUGAUCGUAACGCCCGUGUAUAUCUUCGCUCAAUACUUUUAGGGUGUUUUGAGACUCGUGGAUAACUUUGUUCGGCGAAACGAGGCACUACGCGACGGUUCGGUGGGUUUGACCUUGCCACACAAUGAGAAAAAUCUCAUUUGUGAUGUUUUGAGUAUCAUUAAAUGAAAAAGCAUGCAUAAUCAUGUUAGAUAUAUUUAUUAUGAAUUUUAGAAUGCUUAACAUGCAUAUGUUAUGUAUAGUGAAUUUUUGGACCCCUAUGUGGUAGGAUGCAUGCAUGUGGGACAUAGCAUUCUAGUUGGAACUUGGAACCUUGAUUCCUAUGAUGAAAAUGAACGUUACUUUCAUGCAUUUAACCUUUAAGUCCAAUUGUGACAUGAGGGACUUUGGAAGCCUAGAAAGGCUUGGGGACUUAGACUAUUUGAGAUUUUGGGCCAAUGUCAUAAAGAGGCAUUGGGCCCCGGGCUAUAAUGAACGUUGGUAUAAUGUCAUAUUUGGAACAUAGAACAUGAAUUGAGCUUGAUUAGUUGUGAUGCUUAAGUGUCAUAAAGAGGCACUAAGUAAGUGAGUGUUGAGUUAUCACAUCGUGACAUAGAGCUAGACCUUUGGGUUACUAGUAGCUAUUGCCAUGUUUGAGACAUGAGGGUUGGAUACUUGUAAUACACUGGAUCUUAGCAAAUUGCAAGAUUCGAGUGUUUGAUCUGUGUGUGGAGCCUUUCCACAGUUUUUUGAGUGUCGUUGAUAGUGUUCCGACCCCUGGCACGCACCCCGAGGGUGUUGGUUUGAGUCUUGGCACCAAGAUCCCAAAAUUAGAAUUUUUGGUCAGCCCUCGGAUAGCCUGCAGCAGGGCUUGUACCGGAACAAGAAUGGUCUUGUACCGGUACAAGGGUUGAUGGUUGUACCGGUACAGCCAUCGGGCUUGUACCGGUACAGAGCCGCAGACCGAGCAACCCGAGCUUCGGGUUUGCAUUUUCGUCGGCCUUGUACCGGUACAAGAACCCGUGUACCGGUACAAGGAGGCAGAUUUCGUGCAGUUUGAACUGCAGGGGGUUUUUCGCGAUUGUGGGCUUCUUAUAACAGCACCCACGCCCCUUAGGGCUUUUUUUGUGCUGGAACCUGAGGAGAGGAAGGUGAGUGAAGCUCCACCUUGCCCCAUUUGAUUUUGAUCUCCAUUUUGCUUGGUUUUUGAUGGAUUUUCUUCUCUUUUGCCCUUUGGUGCCAUUUCCACCAUGGAUGACAGGCUCAAGCUUGGAAUUGGAGCUGAAGGGGACGAUAAUCUAUGGAUUUAAAGAGAUUUAGAGCUGUGGUUUGAAGUUCUAAGAGGUAAGCAACAUGUUUCUCCUCUAUAUUCGAGUUUUAUUGGAUUUCAUGGAGAUGAACAAGAUUUAGUUUUAGGGUAAAUAUUGGGCAUUUUUUGAAUCUACGGGCUUUUGAGCUAAGAUUGAGUGGAAUGAGGCUUCCUUUGGGUUGGAUUGGAUGAGCCCGUAGCUUCAUUGUUUGGCUAAUUAGAGGAGAUUUUGGCACUAGAGGUGAUGUUUCCAUCACCUAUGAUUGAUUAGCUUAAUGUUUGAGCUAAGUUUGUUUGUUUGGCCGGUGACACAUGUUCUAUACUUUAGGGUAUAGGAGACCUAAGGAUCACCCUGCGUGUGGAGCCACGAGGAGUUUCGAUUGUCAUCGUGGGGGUUUGGCUUCGUGGAAAUGGGGCAAAAAUGGCCUUUGCUUCUUUCUACUUGUUGUAAAAUAUUUUAGAUUCAUUUCUAUGCUAAUAGAAGUUUAUAUAUGAAUCUUAGCAGCACUUCGAAAUGCAUGCCUUGUGUAUUAUGAAAUUUCACUAUAUGGUAAAGUAUAUGAGUAGAUGAUGCAUACGGAAGUGCUUGUUUUGCAAAUGAAAAAUACAUCUCUUUAUGAUAGCAUGAUGACUGGAAUAUGUACUUUGGGAACAAUAGUUGCCAUGUUUUGACAUGAGAGCAUGGUUGUCAUGAAAGGGGCACUUGAAACUAGUAGAACCAUGAAACUGCAAUAUAGGGAAUAUUGUAGGCACUACAUAUUAUGGCUAUAUUCUAUGUUGAGACUGAUGGCUAGGGAUAGGCCAUUUGAUUUCCUACACAUUUUCCAUGUUAUUAGACAUGAGGACUUGGUACUUGGCGACAGAUCGUUUGACUACUUGCCAUUGUGGCUCAUUCGCACAUGCUUGUAGGGUGCUCCUACAGACGGCCACUACGGAGAUAAUGCACGCGAUACAAUAUUCGCGUGCGGAUUGGCGCGAAGUGGAUUUGCGUGGGCAGGCUCAUUCGUAGGGUGGCGGAAUGAUGACUACCACGGCAUUUGGUCUCGGCCGGCCAGGACAACCCUAGCGGUGGGUCUCAGGGCCAUAGACAGCCUUUGGGUGGGUCUUUCAGAUUGGAUUUUAUAUCGUUAUCAUGUGAAGAUGAUGACUUAGAGUAUUAAUGGACAUUGACUAGAAUAGUAACAAGGAACUUUACUAUUUCGCAUUGUGAACAUUAUGAUAGUUGGAGACUUCUUCAUGCAUAGUUUCGUUUCAUACUUUUACUAUCUGCUAAGUAGAGAUAUAUGUCGUAGUAGGCUUAUAUUUUUAGUUACUGCCACUUUACUUCAUAGUACUGACAUCUUCUGUAAGGCUUUGGCUUUGUGUGCAUUACUGAGUCAGUAAUUGCCACUGGGAACUAUUUUUAAUAGUUCUCAUGCCCCGUUUUGUGUUACUUUUCAAGAGCCUUCGGACGGCGGAGGCACGGGAUCGCGGAGGGGAUCGCUUAGGUAGCUAGCGAGAGCGGUACUUUGCUAGGUCGGUUUACUCUUUCUUUUUUAGUUGAGAGAGAGUGAGAGAUUUUGUUCAUGUAUAGAGACGACCUAUGUAUACUUUUAAUCUUGUAUUUGGGAUUUCUGUUGUUUUUACUUUAUAUUUUAUUAUAGUGGAUUUACAGUUUUAUCUUUAUUCUUUGUUGUAGCCAUUUGACAUUUACUUGCUCUGAUACUCCUAGAUGUCUUUUAUUAUUUUGUUUUAUUAUCGUGUUGUUUAGACGCUUAUAUGUUGUAGACUAUGGCGGCGUCUGGACCACAGCGCCGGGUCGGGCUUCUGCUGGUCGGGCGUGACUAAUACUUGAGCCUUGACUACGCUUGCUUGCCAUUUGUGCUCAUUCACACAUGCUUGUGAGGGUCGCUCCCUACAAGCCGGCACUCCGGAGUUAGCCACGCGACUUAUGUUCGCUCGUGCGGUAUUGAGAAGCCUACGGGGUCGGGUGGGACAGACACAUUCCAAGAGUAGGGAUGUUGGGCUACCACAGGCACUUAGGCGGCACAAGCUGGACUACCUUGGGUAGGUCCUUAAUUGGAAAUGAAAAUCGACACAGUGUCGAGUGUGUUAUUAUCACUACUAGAUAGAGAGUAGUAGUUGGAUUACUUGGACUUGCUUCUAGCAUAGUUUUGAACAUUUGAGUAUACAUACAUACAUGUAGCAUGCUAGGAGAGGUUGCUUAUUGUAUUUAUAUAUACAUUGUUGCCCUGAUAAAGCAUGAUCUUCAUAACUUCAUUAAGUAAACCGUGAUAUUUACUUGUGGCCAUGUAGAGACAUAUUGGUAUGACAAAGUAAAGGUGCAUCAUAUUAACAUCAUGUUUAAUCGCAGUAUAGUAGUUUAGCAUUUUACUUAUGCUUUUACAAAUGCAAUUUAUUCCAUUCUAUUGCCCUUUUUGGCUUACCCUUUCUUUUGGGGCCUAGUGGUGUAUUGAGCUGAGGUCAGUAAUUGCCUCACUAGGAACUAUAAAUUAUAGUUCUCACGCUCUCUGUUUUAUGUUUCCUUCCGAGCCUUCCACGCCGGGAGAGGCUAGGGACCGUGGGAAAGGAGUCGCUUCGAGCUAGCUUCCUUCGAGGACGAUUGGAUAGGUGGUCUACCUCCCAUGGCUUUCUUUUUGUAAGAGGUUAAGAGUUUACCCAUGUACUAGAGACCACCAUUUUGUACCUUUUGAGGUGGUUACUGUAUUACCUUAUGUUUUACUUCUAUGGUUUAGUGGUGAUCUUGUACUCUCUUUAUAGAUGAUAGAAACAUACUUGCUCUAAUAUCUGUAGCUGUAGAUUAUUUCUUGCUUUUACUUCCGCUUUUAUUGUGACGCCUUUAUAUGUGUAGACGUAUGGCGGGUCUGGGCACGCUACCGGGGGGGCCUCCGCCGGUCCCGGGGCGUGACACAACCAGGAACAGUAUUCAACAAGGAUUGCAUAAAGAAGUAUCGAAAACAUAAAUACAACUAUGCUAUUAUAAGCAUACAUCUCAAAUUUUGCAUAUUACAUGCAUCUUACUUUUUAGUCUUCCAAAUACAAUCCAAAUUAUUACAAAUUAUUACAAUCUUAUUCUUUCCAUCACUAAACCCCUAAGCUAAGCCGACUUAGGGUACCGNCUUUUUAGUCUUCCAAAUACAAUCCAAAUUAUUACAAAUUAUUACAAUCUUAUUCUUUCCAUCACUAAACCCCUAAGCUAAGCCGACUUAGGGUACCGCUAUCUCUGAUCUUAGUGGUAGGGCGCUAACUAUGGAGCUACGUCCUCGCCUCGCGCCACCGCUCCGCUCACGUGUGAACCUGUACCCCCAAAAACAACACGGGGGUGAGAACUAUUGUCCAUAGUUCCCAGUGGGUACGGCCACCCAAGGGAAAAGCUCGACCCACCAGGUCCAAAGGAGGCACUACAAACAUGUUAGUCCAACAAAUAUUCACAGAUAUAUAAUUUAUGCAACUAACAUUAACAUGUUCAUGCCUCACAAUAUGCAACAUGCAAAACAUGCAACUAACCAAGUAGAUUAAUUAAUUCUACUCUUUAUUCUUAGUCAUUCUUUACUCUUAGCUAUUCUUUACUCUUAGCCGUUAUUUACUCUUUAUUCUUUAUUCUUUAUUCUUCAUUCUUAGUCGCAACUUACUAAUUGGACAUUCUUUCCUAAGGUUACCUUUAACUUAGCAAACUAUGCCACUUGACUCGGUCUUGAGUCAAUCCACCGCAGAUAGUCCGCGCUCUGUCGGGCUCGAGGUGAAGGACGUCUCACAUGCACCUCAGUCUUAAAUCCUCUCGACUCUAGGUCUACUCACAAGGUGAGGAUGUCCAUUGAAUUCCGGACCACAAGUCGCUUAAUAGACCUACGGGCGAGGAGAACCACACGUACCCGCGCCCCAAUCUCAUACUCAAACCGGACGAGGAGAACUACACGUACUCGAUGAGUCACUGCCAGGCGAGGAGAACCACACAUACCUGCAGUUGCCAUACAAUUGCACUCGUUCGCAAGGCUCAUCCGCUGCACUAGCAGCCGCUGCACUAGCAGCCGCUGCACUAGCAGCACUCAUUCCUAGGGAUUCUGGAAUCCACUUCCACAACUCUAGGGUUGGUCUCAUCCUAUAGUAUCGACCUAUCUAGGUCCAAUGUUCUUUCCAUCCUAGGUCCCAUUGACUUUAGGUUUAAUGCCUGUAAGGAAGUGAAUUCUCAAAAUCCGAGAGUUGGACUUUGCUCAGAAUCGACUAAUUGUCGAGUGGGUAGGCUUCGGAAAAGCCGAAGAAGUCAAAAACUCAAAAAGUGCAUUACAAUGGAUCCUCGCGAGUAAGAUGUGCAAAAAUCUGCACUUGGCAGAAAUUGCUCUCGGGGACCGGUUCCUGGUGGGAGAGACCGGUCCUCGUAGGCUGAAAAUACAGCAGAAAACUCUACGCGCGAAGUUUGCUCUUGGGGUCCAGUCCCUCAAGUGGGGACCGGUCCUUGAAGGUCCGGUCCCUCAGGCGAGGACCAGUCCCCGUACGCGCAGCUAGCGAGAACAAAGAGAAUUUGGCUAAGUCCUGAGAGCUCUGCUCUCGAGGACCGGUCCCUGGCGGGGGAGACCGAUCCCGGUACGCGUAAAAGCUGGCAGAAGAGCUCUGCCCGCAAAUGUUGCUCUCGGGGAUCGGUCUGUCCAUAGAGGGACCGGUCCCUGUGCCCGAAAACUGCCCAAGCAGAGCAGUUUGAGAUAGGCAAAGUGGAGGGGCUGGGGUGCAAUUGUUACAUUAGUUGAGGGGUAUAAGAGGGAUUGCACUCUCUCUUCCUCAUUUCCCACCCAACACACACAAACACUCUCUCCUCUCUCUCUCUCUCUAAGCUCUCUCUCCUCUCUUGAAGCAAAGAAGAAGGAGAAGAAGGAGAAGAAGAAAAGGAAGGAGAAGAAGGUAGAGAAGAAGGUGAAGCAAGCUAGGAGAAGGCUUUGGUCAUCUUCCUCUUCCUCCUCACACCAUUGGAGCUAGCUCAAGAGGUGAGCUUCUCAACCCUAAUGGUAGAAACCUAGGGUUUUGGGAUUUCUAGCUUUUUGAUAGGGUCAAAUGGAUCCCUAGCAUAGUUAAUAGUUGAUUAAUGCUAGAAUCUAGAGUUUCGUUGGUGGGUUUUGCAUAGAUGCAAACCUAUGGCACCCAAAUUGGGGUUUUGCUCAAUAGUGAGGUUUGAUCUCAAUUGAUAGCCUCUAAACCUAAUUGAUAGGUGUCUAAACGUGUUGGCGAAGACGGAUUGAGCAUUCGUCGAGUCGGUAAAAAGUUAUCUGCAAAACAAGACCGAUUGAGCUUCGUUUCCACCUAGGAGGUCGGAGCGACGUCGAAGCAAGUGCCGAAUAGUGUUCUUAGCACCCCGACAUCGUCGAAAGGUGGGUGGUGUCAUCCCGAAGCAACCGGGUUCCUCUCUAUGUCUUAGUAUUUCAUGAUUUGCAUCUCUUGCAUGUUGCAUUGUAGAAUUGCAUGUUAUUCCAUUCCUUAUGCUUGCUAAUGAUAUCAAUGUAUGAGUUGAAUGCAUGAUGAUGGUUAGAUGAGGAUUGGGUCUUGACAUUGAGUUCUACAGUGCUGAGAAAAGAGAUGAACCCGAUGAUUGUUAAAGACGUAAUGAGUGGCAUUGACUGUUAAUCAAACAAAAACGAGUGGCAUAUAAUUUAAUGUAAAUGACACUAGUGGCAUGUGAACUUAGGGAUAGGUGGAUUUCCUAGUAAAUGACUCGUUGGACAAGAAAUUAAUGUAGCCAAACAUUCGUAUUUGGACUUUGGGAUAGGUGGAUUCCCGAGUGACUUGUAGCCCUAGCCAGUAGGGUAUCCUGGAGUUGAGAGGAUUGAUCAUACUCACAAUCUGUUCAUACUUGUGGUGGUUGCUCCACCCAGGUAUUCGCGCACUUCGGAGCUUGGUGCUAGAGGGGCAGAGUUGAUGCCCUACAGGCAGCCUCGGGUUUGAGAUCGAGAUGUGUCUCCUUACCAUACGAGGUUUGAGGUGAGUCGUGGGUGAACCCAAGUGGAUCGCCAAGGAUUUAUUGAACAUGAGAAUGGCAUUGUCAAUUGAACAUUUGCUUGUUGGACAUGGAUAGUGGACAUAGUGGCAUGUUAGUAAAUCAUUUACUAUAUGAUGCAUGCAUAUAUGACAUAUGAUUGGGCAUAGUAGUAUAGCUUUCCUAUUAUGUCAUUUACAGUUUUCAUAUCUAUCUAUCUAUCUACCUACUUUUGCCCACUCGGACCUAGUGGGGAGAUCGGCAGAGUCAGCGAUCAAACCCACUGGGAACUAUGGACAAUAGUUCUCACCCCACUUUGUUGCAGGGCCUAGUUCGAGCGCGCCGUGCGAGGAUCGCGGCAAGGGUGUAGCGCUCGAGCAGCAGUAUAGUAGCUUUCUUUUUUGCAUUAGCACUAACCUAUGUAUAUGAGUGAAUUAUGUAGGUGAGGAUUUGGAGAGCUACGAUGUAUUUUGAUGGUUAUUUAGUAAGCCAUGUAUCCAUUUUGAGAAAAUGAAAAAUGCAUGAUUAUAUGAUUAGUAUUAUGAGGAUGUGCUAGAUUAUAUAUGCAUGUGAAAUGUAGAAUACUCAAUUGAAUAAGUGUGGCAUGUAAACCUAGAGUUAGGAAACAUAGGUUGAACAAGUGUGACAUGUAAACCCAAUGUUAAAGAAUAUAGGUUGAACAAUUGUGGUGUUAUUGAACAUAGGUUGAGUAUGAACCUAGUGUCAUGGACCUAGGAUGGAUAAGAAUGAAUAUGAACCUAGUUUUAAAGAAUAUAGGUUAUGGGAUAAACCUAGAGUUAAAGUAAACCUAGGUUGUGUGGUAAAAGCAUUAAGCCUAGAGUCAAGUGGACCUAGGGUGGAAAGAACAUUGGAUCUAGAUAGGUCGAUACUAUAGGGCUAAGACCAACCCUUGAGUUAUGUGAAAUGGAUUUCGGAAUCCUAGAGCUUAUGGAACACCGAGAGUGGUGUUGGGCGUGUGCGACGAUUUCGCCGUCCGGGGCUAUACCAUCGACGUGGCGUGUGCGACGAUUUCGCCGCCGGAUCGGUGAGCUGAAUUGUGGUUUAUACCGGUUGAGCCAGGUUGUGGAUUAUACCGUUGGUUGACUCGAACCACUGACGUGGCUUGUGCGACGAUUUCGUCGCCGGGUGGCUAGGUCAUAGAGCGCGGUGAGCUGUGGAAGGCUGAGGUGCAUGUGUGAGUUCCUUCACCUCGAGCUGGACAGAGCGCGGAUUAUCUGCCGUUGAUUGACUCAAGACCGAGUUGACUGGCAUAGUGUGACCAAGAUAAGAAUAACCUUAGAAAAGAAUGGCCAAUGAGCAAGUUGUAUCUAUGAAUAAAAUAUAAAGAAUAGCUAAGAGAAAAGAAUAGCUAUGAGUAAAGAAUAGUCAAGGACAAAGAAUGACUAAGAUUAAAGAGUAGAAUUAAAGUAAUCUACUUGGUUGGUUGCAUAGUUUCAUUUUGCAUAUUGAGAGGCAUGACAUGUAGUUCAAUAUCAAGUAAAUGUAUAAAUAUCUGUUAUAUGUUAUUGGAGUAACUUGUUGCAGUGCCUCAUUAGACCUAUUAGUUGAGCUUUUCCCUUGAGUGGCCGUACCUACUGGGAACCAUGGAGUUGGUUCUCACCCUAUGUUGUUUUGGGGUGUUACAGGUUCGCACGUAAGCGGCGCGGCAGCGCGAGGCAAGGGCGUAGCUCCGUAAAUAGCGGCCCUACCCCAGAGACCAGAGAUAGAAGUACCCCAGUUGACUAGCUAGGGGUAUAAAUAGUGAACAGAAUACGAAUGUUUCAAACUUGUAAUCAUUGUAAUAACUCGAUUGUAUUUUGGAAGUUGAAUGUAAAAGAAAAUUGUGAUGUAAAAUACACUUAAGAUGAAUGUUGUAAUAACUUAGUUGUUUUAUGUUUUUGAUACUUACUUGUGCAAUCUUUGGUUGAAUUCGGUUCCUGGUUGGAACAUCGUGAAUUGUAUCGAUUGCGACGCCUUGGACGUACAGCAGAGACUUUGUCCGCGAUACAGGAAAACCCUCUCCGUUCGGCGGUCUGUUGGCGUGCCCGAACCCGACCAAAUAGGCGGGGCACGAGGCGUGACAACAAGUCUCACGCCAAGUGAUCUUGGAUUGUGUGUCUGGUGAUCUUGGAUUGUGUGUGUGUGUUGUGUGUUUAGGGCUGACGAGGACGUCAGGACCUAAAAGAGGGGAGUAUGUGACAUCCCAAUAGUCCCACAUCGGAUAGAAUUAGGGUUGACAUUGGGUAUAUAAGAGGAUUCCACUCUAGUAAUAAUAACUGGGCUUAAGCAUUUUGGGCUGGUGGUUUGGGGCCAACGAGUUAUUAUUGCAAGCGGUUCGGGCCGUUACAAUGAUCAAAUUCUCUUAUGUUAUCUAGAGAACCCACCACUAACCAUGGUGACUAUCCCGGGAUCGACAAAUUCCUGCAUAUUAAAACUCAAAACUACUAUUUGCUAUACAUCGUACUCCUAAAAUGUAGCACCGAUUGCACUGAACAACUAAUGGGACACGUGGCAACAAAAAAAUAUCUUCCACAGUGGGAUAGUAAAUUACUGAAAUACCCUCAUUAUAUGAGAAAAGGAUAGAAAUUAUAGCAAGAAAUUUUAGUCUUUUAGCACCUUUGAGGUGCACUUGUCACAUUCAUAUUAACUUGUCCAUGGUGCACUGGUGUAUGCAAUAUCUUAAAAGGAACACAUGUCGCGUGUAGAGGAUUGCUCCACGCAGAUUAGAAUAUAUGUAUAGAUGUAUAGAUACUAUGUUAGCCACUUGCAUCAGUAAUUAUCUAUUAUAUAGAUCAACUAGCAUGUAAUUUAAUUACAUGGCAAUAAAUAUAAUUGAACCCUAACAAGCAAAACUACACACACAUAUAGAGUUGAGUUGGAAUGCUAUCAAUAGCAAACGGACUUCAUUGCCACCUAUUUAUUUUCGAUAAUGGAGCCUCCAAAUCGAUAAUCGGCACCAUUGAACAUGAUUUAUCACCAAUUGAAGUAUCUAGAAACCAAAAUUUCAUAUCUUAUUGUCAUCAUUGGCCUAAUGAAUUGGUCAUAGAGAGAAAUUUUACUGUUUCAAAGAGCACCACCUACCUUAGUCAGUUACUAAUUGCAAAGAUUUCAAAGCAAUUGGCUUUUCGAUGUCUAUUCGGCAAGCUUCAAGCCUAACGAUUGAAAUUCCUCAAUUUUCUCCAAUCAGAAGCCGUAACCUUGUCAUAAUCCAUUGGAGUUGUCCUCCUCCGCAUCGAACUAUCCUUCAAUUAGGGAUUUAUAGGCUCAAUGUGGUCUAAAACCUCAUAAGAAUAAAAACUCCAAAUCCAAUCCCUAAGUUUGUAGAUCCUCAAGAAUACCCAAAAUCAUGGUGAAUCCUUUAUUUAAAUUAGUUUAGAAACACCUAGGGGUCUUAAAAACACAAAUUUUAAAGAAUUUAAUAAGAAUUCUAACUCAAAUCACAAAGAUCUCACCUUGGUCAUCUUGCUCUCCAAGCCUCUCCAUGACAUCUUGCUCUUCGAGCCUCUCCAUGACCAAGGUAGCUCCCACCACCUCCAAGCUUUUUCUAAGCUUGCUCUCCACCAAAUCCUCCAACCUUGAGAAGGGAAUACAAGAGAGAAGGAGAGAGAGGUGUAAGAGAGAAAGAGAUAAGGGUUUCUCUCGUGCGUAAGGGAGAGAGGGAGAGAAAGAGGCUGUGGGGUCUAUAUAUAGGCCCCCCAAACACGGGGUGUCAGGACCCUUCGAUCAUCAGGGUUUGAACUCAGAACCCAAUUUGUACACUUUGCGCAAGCAGGGUCUAGACCUUCCUACAGGAUUCGAACCUCAAGAGUCAAAUAGCCAUAAACCACAUUUUCUCAAACUCUCCAUUUUUUGCUCCACAGUGCUCUAACUUGAUUCCAAUUGUUCCAAAACCCUCAAAAUCCAUAAAAGCACUACCACACCCUCAUUUCUUGACUGUACUUCACCGAACUUGGCCAAAGUUCAAGUAAGUAUACUAAAAUUCAGUUUACUACAAAAUUACUUUUCAGAAUCUAGGCACAUACUCCCUAAUGCUCCCCAAAAAAAUGAAUAAAUUAUCCGAUUAAUGAAAAUCACUUACGAUUCAACCUUUUUAUUUUCGAAGUGUGAGCAUCUGAAUAAUCACCGACCACAUUGAGCAAGGCAAAUCUAAUUGUUUUCUGCUAAAAAGAAGGAAAAAUGAAAAUAGUUAAAUAAGUAGAUAAGUAAAAAUGCAGCUAUUUAUUAGUCUAAACCGACUUGAAAAAAUUAGAGUUUAAAGAGUUCAUGCCUCUCGGGUACUCGUAGGUACCCAGUUAAUUACAUCCUCUCGUUACAUACGGGCCACCUCCGAUUAAGCUGGUCAUAAUUAGAAUAUCUUUCCUCCAACUAAGUGAAAUAAUCAGAUUGAAAUUUAAACCGAGUCGGGAGAUAUACAUAUAGUCAAAAUUUGAAGCAAACAACAUUAAAAUAUAAGACUAAACGGGGAUAUAGUUCUUGCAUAAGAAAUCCUCUCUUUUAUGUUUAGGUGUGUUGCAUACUAGACAUUAUGAACUUUUUUUUUUUUUAAAGGAGCUUAAUCAGCCUUCUUGUUUUUAUACAUAUACAUAUAUACAUAUAUAUAGAAACGAAAAGAUUUUUUUUUAAAAAAAAAGAAUAAAUAGUCAUCACCUCUAAUAGAACUAACCAUAGUUGUAUAGAACCAUAAUUUUAUUAUACUAGUUUGAAAAGAAGCUUGGUGUUUGAGCCCUCCUUGAUAUAAUGCAGACUUGGGAAAGGUUAAUCACAACAGUAAUAUAGGCAAAUGCACCACAUCAUAAGGAGGUUUAUGCUCCUGGUUACUUGUUAAAGGUGGAAAGUUAUUAUUAUUAAUUUUUUAAAACAAAAUAUUUAAAUAAAACUAGCAACAAAAGGAGUUACAUGUCUUUUAUAAAUAGAGUUAAUAUUGUAUGUACGCAACAAAGAUCACCAAAUUAUGAUCCCAAAUGUUAUUCAACAGAAAAUUAAUUUUGAAAGUUACUAGGAUGCCUAGUUUGGGGUACACUUGCAUAUGCUCAAAAUAAAUGUGUGCUCUACUGUAACAUAUUGAAACCCGGAAGAAAUUAUCGAAUUUUAGCCAAAUUGACUAAAGUAUGCGAAAAAGAUGGAUGGACAAGUUGCAUUUAGCAUUCCAACGAUGUUGGAAGGGCUAAAAGUAAGUUUAGAAAGAGUUAGAAAGGUUUUAGCAUCGACCGUCGCAAAGUAGAGUCGAAUCGAAGCUAAAACAGCAUUCGGGAGCAAGUGUACCGGUACAACCAUCGAGUUGUAACCGGUACAGGCCAGCAAAACGAGAGAUAGCAGCUCUUGGGUUUGAUAUUUUUUGCAGAAAUGUACCGGUACACCCUUGGUGUGUACCGGUACAUUUUAGUAAAAUUCGAGAACAUUGCUCUCGGGUUGCCUCUGCUUAGAAAAUGUACCGGUACAAAAUCCCGUGUACCGGUACACUUUGGUCUGGCAGCAAGAAUUUGGUCUGUUGCAAAUUAGAGAAAUUGGAGGGCUUUUUGGCUAUUGUUAUAACAUGUAAUAUACCCAAACACACCCCUUCACAGCAACAGCCCCUCUUCACCUCUCCACUUCAUUUCUCCCUUUCUCUCUCUAGAGAUCUUGCCCUAGAGCAAGGAGAAAAAGGAGAAGAAGACAUUGAAGGUGAACUUUGGAGGAUCUAAAGGCUUUAGAAGCUCUCCAACAUGGAGGACUUGCAAGAGCUUGGGCCAAGAUGAGUUGCUAUGCAAAGUAGGUCUAGGGUUUUGGGCUUUUACCUUAAAACUUGGAGUUUUGAUCCUCUAGUAAGGCUAGGAUCAUUGUAGAGGCUAUGAACACCAUGAAAUCCAUGGUUUCUAAAAAAUACUCUCAUGGUGAACUUCUAGGGUUCAUGUUUGAUGCCCUAAGAAUGGUCCAAAUAGCUUGGAAAUGAUAUUAGAGAGCUUCUUGAAAGGUUCUAAGCUUCAUUUUGCUUAGAGAUGAGAUCAAUUUAGGAGAAAUUCUAUUAUGGCAUUGUUAGGGAAUGAAUUUUAGGGCUUUUGCUUCCGGUUGUUUCCGAGAUAAAUUGACCUCUUGGAAACCUAAUUGGGGGUAUUCCCGACGCGUGGGACAACUCUAUUUGACGUUACGAAAAGUCUAAGUAAGAGAUCUUGUAUAUAGAGCCUAAUUUGGCUUUAUUUUUGGGUUUAGGUCGCGGGAGAGGCGUCCUGAAAUCACGAGAGUCGAACCACAACCCUUCUACAAUAUUCAAGGUGGAGGGUGCAUGCCGGAAUCAUCGGAUUCCCCUUUAUGUCUAUUUUCACCUUUGUUGAGCAUACUUGUAUAUAGAGUCAUUCAUGCAUAUUAGGGUAGUUCACAUGUGAAUGAUGGUUUAAUUUCAUUUAUAUGCUUCUAACGUAGUUGAACAUGGAAAAUGAUUUGAGCCAUAGUGGACAUGUAUGUUGAGACCCUAAACUUGUGUGAAUGUGAGACUUGGACCAAGAUAAUAGUAAAUAAAGGUAACAUUGACAUUAGAGACAUGAUUGGCAUUGAGACAUGACUCGUUAAACAAGGUUUAACAAUUAGUGGCAUUGUGACGAGAAUGACUUAGAAAGUGGCAUGAACAAAUAGGUAGAAACCUAUUAUGACAACGGCAUUGUGACUAGUUGGCUAUAUAUCCUCAAGUUGAUGAUUGGAUCGAUACUCACGAUAAGUCUUGGCUUGAGGGUGGUAGCUCCCCCCCAAGCGGUGCGUUCCGGAAUUGUCACCACGGGGAGCGCGGUCUCCGAAGACGGUCCCUCGGAUCUUGUAGUGCUUAGAACCUCCCCGAACGAAAGGGAUUUUGGGUUGUGAGUUAUUGGGGUUAACAAGAUUAACCAGUAAGAUUGGGUAAAAGCCAAAGUAAAGAUACAUGCAUGCAUAUUUAAUAUUUCUUUGAUUAUAUAAAUCUAUUGGCAAUUUUCUUACAGGCAUAGUAUUAGCAUUAGUAUGGUUACUACUUUCCUUUCCUUUGAAAUACUUAUGCCUGAAUAGACCUAGUGGGUAAGUCGGCGAGGUCGGUUGCCGAACCCACUGGGAACUUCUUUGUAGUUCUUACACCACUAACCCUACAGGUCCGAGCUCGAGCGGGGCAGCGGAGGACCAAGGCAAGGGUAUCGCGCCAUAGCUAGUGGCCACCGGAGUUAUGCAUUUUAGUCAUUCCCUUUUUGGUUCAUGUAUCAACUUUCUUUUGUUGAUCUCGAAUUGUAAAGUUGUAAACAAUCAUGUAUUUGGAAGAAUGACAAGUAUGAAAGGGAAUUGGUGAGUAAAUGGAAAUUGAAUGUAAUAGUUGUAGUUUACAAGUAUUUCGUUUAAAUGUAAUCAAAUAUUGUGUAUGGUUGUAUGUUUAGCUUAGAGGUUUCGCUUUCGUUGUUGUUUGCCCUCGUGCAAGCCUUGUAUAAUUGCAAAUUACUUUGGAUGAUUGCUUAAUUAUACUUGUAGUUGGAGCCUUGGGCAAACAGGGGAGAUGCUGUCCGUUCGGCGUCUGCUGACAUGACCCGAACCUGACCAAAUUGGCGGGGAUUGGGGCGUGACAUCUACUCCUAUCCUUUGUCUUUGUUCCCAAGCGGGUGCGGCCUUGUUGGAUGGCGGCGACGGCAUAGUUGGACGGGCCGGCACUGCACAAACACCGAGCUUUCCUCUUCUCUCUCUCUCUCUCUCUCUCUCUCUCUUUUAUCCAACACUUCUCCUCCUCCUAUUACUCCUUUCUCUCUUCUUUUCUUUUUUCUUCUUCCUCUUUUAUUUCUUUUUUUAUUUUAGUGUGCGUGUGGAUGGGUGUGUCUUGUGGAGAGAGGAUCGCAUCCUCUGCCUCCUCUCCCUUUUUUUUUUUCUUUUUUUCGUGUGGGCUUCUUUUGGCCUUUCUGUAAUACACUGGAUCUUAGCAAAUUGCAAGAUUCGGGUGUUUGAUCUGUGUGUGGAGCCUUUCCACAGUUUUUGGUGGGUCGCUGAUAGUGUUCCGACCCCUGGCACGCACCCCGAGGGUGUUGGUUUGAGUCUUGGCACCAAGAUUCCAAAAUUGGAAUUUUUGGUCAGCCCUGAAAGUUUUGAGGAGCCCAAGGAUCUAUCUAGAUUGUAUCUAUCACCUAGAGGGGGGGUGAAUAGGUGUAACGGCCAAAAACCACAAAUCUCGAUGCAAUAAAAAUAAAUGCGGAAAAUAAAAAGCACACCGAGAUUUACGUGGAAAAACUCCAACUUGGAGAAAAACCCACGGGACCAACACGCGAAAAAACAAUUUACUAAGAGAAAAGAUUACAAGGUGAUUACCGACUCCACGGACUCAACCUCUCUUAACCUCCUAUGAAUCUUCGCGCUACCCUCCGGGUUGUCCACGCCCUCACGUCCGAAUCCACGAACGCCUCNAUAGAUUUAAUUACUAUUAGUUAAUAAAUGGUGAUGAAAUUCAAUGAGAACUUCUGUUAAUUAUUAUUAGUAUUUCAAUUUUGUACUACAGCUAAUCACUUCAAAGCAGUGCUUGUUUCUCUAUGCAUAGAUUACACCCAAUCUCGUACUUUAGUUUCCAUUAUUAUUAUUAUUCGGUCACCUUCAAGCUAGCUAGUAAAGAUUAUUCUUGAAUCAUUUUCUAUCAUAUCGAUAUUUGAAAUAAUGGUUUCAGAAUCAAUCCUAAGAAUUAUCCUCAUAUUUCUAAGAAUUUUCAAUUUAAUUCUUACAUCCAUCUUUUAAGGCAUAUAAUUUUUACAUGUUGUGUUAUUCUCUGAUGUCUCUCGUAAUUUGUCUAUUCUCUACUGCUCCAUGAAAUGGAUAAAUUGUCAUGGUAUGGUAUUGGCAGCAAAAAUGAAGGCAAUUUUCUAAAUUCAGAAAAGUUUGUUGCUGAUUGGGACCGCGCGGCAAUCGGUGCCCCGUGCAGACGGUGUAUGGAUGCACCCGGUGCAGGCAGUGUUUUUCGUCGGCGCAUCACCUCCUCCGGGACCCCAUUUAUUUAUUUAUUUACUGUUGUUGUCGCUGUAAUAACUCCCGUCACGGAAACUUUGAUGAAGGAAUUUUACCGUUGGGCGGCAACUGGGUGCAGCCGGUAACCCGCGCCCUCUUUUUUCAAUUCGUCGGUGCCGGUGCUGUGACCGGCUAUCCCGGGUUUCCCGCGAAAAACAUGGCGGGUAUCCUACUCCCAACCCCGGAAUGGGAGAGUUUGGUAUGAGUGAGGAUGAGCACUAGUAGUUUUCGCUUUUCCCUUUCGCCCUCUCUUCCUUUUUCCCUCUAACACUUCCUAGCUAAUUACCCUCUCUCUCUCUCUCCCCUUCUUUUAAUUAAUUAUAUUAUAUUUGUUUAUUUCUGUAUACAUCUCUCUAUCCCCGUCUCUGCUUUCUUUUCUCUGCUCCCCUUUUCGGGUAACGAAAAACGUCAGUUGGUCGGACCAAGUAAGCCCCCGGUCGUCUUCAUCGCGGACUAGUUAAAUUGUAUUCUCGGGCUUUCUCUUUUACUCGAGAGUAGAUUAUAAUCUCGACGAUUGGUGGAGUAGUUGAGCUAACGACAUCUCCGGGCUCCAGCGCCCGGCUCGAUUAGCUUUUAGUUUAAUUAACUUUUUCCAUCAGAAUAUGACAAAUUAACAAGAUUUUAGGUGGGCUUCGUAGCUCGUGGGUCUCUCUUCUUUUCUUUUCUUUUCUUUUCCUUUCUUUUUUAUUUUUUUGUCCUUAAUUUAAUUCAAUUUAAUUUAAUGUGCCCUUCGAUCUUUUCAUUUGAAUAAUAAUUGGGGGUUGGGGGGGGGCAUCUGUUCUCUUCUGCUUGUGCUGGCCUCGCGAGCACUCUUCUGUUGAAACUCCCUUUUUGAGUUUGAAUUCAGCAAAGUGAGGCCAUUUUUAGGUGGCUUCUCCUUUUCCAAAAAUUAUUGCUAAUUCUUUAUGUUCUUGUUAAAUUGGAUGAUGAAUAAAUACAAUACAAUGGUACAUGAGCUUAAUUAGGAUAUGGCUAGGAGGGGCUAAUUCAGUCCGUGCAUGGAGAGGAUGGAAAUGGAGAUUGGAGCAUUCAAUAGAAAGAGUGAGGGCAACUGCAUACUUGUGGGGCUCCAAAUGGAUGCCAUAGGGCGGGAAUUGCUCAACUGGGCAAUCACCAAGUUGGCGGAGCAAGGAGAUCGCAUCGUCGCCAUCCAUAUUUGCCGCAAAUCCGGUAUUAUAUAUCAAGAAUCCCCGAAAUUCACAUACUUUUCAUGCUUGCUUAUUCCCUUCGUAACUAUAUCUGUUUCUCUUCUUAGAUCUCUCCAAGACCAGCACUCUGUCUCUGAUCAAGGUGUUAGAGGACUAUUUGACAGUGUUCGAGAGCCUGUGCGGUAUGAAGCAGGUAAGUUAGAUUAGUUCCUGCGGGAGAAAAGAAGAUAAAAUUGACGGCAGAUUGGCUCACGUAUUUAGAAGCUUCAUGUCCUUUUUAGGUGAUUCUUGUGGGUCGAGUCACUCCGGGAAGUUCGAUCCAGAAAGUGCUUGUGAAGGAAGCAAAACUGUGCGCCGCCAUGGCAGUGGUAGUUGGAGCAAACAAGAACUACUCGUUUGGGUAGGUAUUUUUCAGAUAUAUCAAACGUAGUACCAGUUGUUGGACUUUUCAUUAAUCAUUAGUCUUACCAUAAUUGUCCCUCAGAGGUGCGGCUUCUCUAGCAAAGUAUUGUGCCAAGAAACUCCCCCCAACUACUUGUGUAAUAGCAAUUCAGAAUAGCAAGGUGAUUUUCAAAAGGGAGCCGAUUGAAACCCCUCCAGGUAAUAUANUGUGUGUAUAUAUAUAUAUAUAUAUAUAUAUAUAGGCUGGGGCUACUAUACUCUUAUGAGUAUAGACUCCCUUGUACUCAUUAAUUUUUAACCGUUGAUUCAUGAGAUGUGAGGUUAGGAUGAUGGUGGUCCCCACUUAGAAUGAUAGUGGUUCACUAGGGUUGAGUGGGUAGUUGGUUGAAUAGUAUGAUCUAACGGAUGGAAAUGGUCAAUAGAAUAAAUCUAAGAACCGAAAACUUAUGAGUAUAAGGAAGCCAAUACUCAUAAAAGUAUAGUAGCUGGACUCUCUCUCUCUCUCUCUCUCUCUCUCUUUCUAUAUAUAUAUAUAUAUUUUGCUCCUAUGCUUUUAAAAGUACCAAGUUAUUGGUGCUUGUAGAUUUUUAGUCAUCCGAUUUCAGCACAAGUCACUUCUGACUUAUGUUUUACUUUUCUAAAUCCAAUAAAAUAGUUUCUCACACUAUUUUUAUUUAUUUUUAUUUUUAUACCAAAAUCUGGUAUGUUACAUUCUCUACCCCUUAAAAAGAUUUUCGUCCCCGAAAUUCAAACUGCGCCUCAAUACGGCUCCGCGAGCAAUUGAGGGUACAAACUCAUUCUCCCACUCCAAAGCGGCUUCGUACUAUCGCGGUUCCAGAAACGGCUCAUACUGAAGGACGUGGGUUUGACCCUAAACACAUUUGCAAAGUGUGAUACAAAAGUGCAUCACGGGUCUUGCAAGUCAUAAAGAUAGCGCAAGUCGAUACUCGACGACUCUACGUGCUCCAACACCACUCGCCAUCCGGUACACAAAGAACUCUUCUUUGCACUUACCUUCCCUUCAGGGAAUACCUUCCAAUUCGAUCACCGACAUUGCUCAGAAGCAAUAUCACCGGUGCAUCGCUCCGUCGUGAGUGCUCUAAUUUCGCACUGACCCUUAACUUUAACGUGAGAUGGCCCACUUCGGCACCUCUCAAGUUUUAGUUCGUUUACGAGCAUAGUCUCCAACAUCACGUGGCUUUCCACUAGUUUGAUGUCUCACAAGGAGUACUUCAUCAUCUGAUACCACAUGCCACGAUUAACAUCAACUAUUUCCGCAACGAGCUCACACGAGCGCUUCGUUCGUGAAUUCGAGUGAAACUCCUCGAUAAGGCUAUCCACCAAAUCGCUCUCUUCAGUCUCCAUAGGUGGACGAAAGGCCACCAAUCCUACGUAGGCCUACCGCCUAAACCUGUCUCAAUACGCAGCGUCUCUUGCUCGCAAAUGCAGACCCAAUCAUUAUCGGACGAAAUUCUCACUUGGGAAUUCGCAUACACUCCAACCAGGAGCAACUAAGAUCUCAAACCGUUACAGAUUCCCGGGUUGGGUCACAAUCAUACUCUCGGUAUACUAUCAAUCGUACGACAUGCUCUAUCGAGUACACGUAUCACUACCGGCUACUAUGCAUCUAAUGCGAGUCACCAGUCCCACGAGUGAUCCAUGGCACGCUUCACACAUAGCAAUGCUCAAGUGCUACUGCCAAUACACUCUCUCGGCUGAAUCCACAUCCGCACUCUACGGGUAUAUACACUCGAGCGCUCUACGCCUCUACAGCGUUCCACACGAAGUCCAGCAUUAGGCAAUCUUNUUUUUUUUUUUUUUUUUUUUUUAUUAGUUGCAAUAUGUGAAUUCAAUUCAAUGUCCGAUCCUCCUCUUACUUAGAUGUUCGUUUACGGUUAGGCAAAGAGCCAAAGCCGGUUCUGCGCAGUGUAUUGCAUCCAAGCGUUGGCAUGAAUCCAAAAGUUAUCAUCCCCAAUUCGAAUCUUAAGUCCGGAGAGGGAGUAAACAUACACGGCGACGUCCCUAAAGAGCGCAGCCUUGUUAUUCGUGAUGAGGCCUCCAAAAGUGCUUCAAGCUCUGUUGCUGUUUUAGUGAAGAAGUUGCCAGAGAAAAGACUCGGUUGGCCCUUGCUCAGAAAGGCAUCAUCGAAUUUCAAAACACCGGGAGAGGAAGAAGCCCGGAAGUUAUCAGUGGUCCAGUGGGUCAUGAACCUACCAAAUCGAUCUUCACCGUCCAUUGAACCGCAGAAGGAGUUAGCCAAAGAAUUGAAAAACAUCUUGGAAACCAACUCCUCUAGUUNGCUACUUUCACUGUUCGAUCUACCGGAAUGACAUCCGAAAUUUUCGGACCACUCGGGUGUUCUCAUAAGCAUCAUGGCUCAACUCUCGCAAUUUACUACUCAUAUUGCUCUGAGAGUCGUUUCGCCACUUCUAUCUCUACCGCAAGUCUCACUUCUCGCCAUAGAUUACUUCUAGCACUUCGCUAGUGCCAUCUGGCUCUAUACCUGUACUGGCAGGUACUACGCCCUCACAUAAUACAAAACUCCAUUUCUAGAGCAAUCAAAUUUAUCUCUAGAAAUCCACCAUGAGAGAGAGCUUAGAAGCUUACCUCUCCGAGAAACUCCAACCAAGGAGAAGAUGAAGAAGAUGAGGUAGACCUCCUUCUCCUUCUUUUUCUUUCCUUUCCUUUCUUCUUCCUCUUCUUGUCUUCUAGAGAGAGAAAAAGAGAUAUGAGAGGGUGUGUGGGUGAGAAAUGAGAGAAAAGAGCUCUCAUACCCCCCACAUAGCCCCACAUGUUGCAUAAGUGCAAAUAAGCCCCACAUGGGCCACUUUCGGGCUCAGGGACCGGUUUCUCGAGCCUGGGACCGGUCCCAGAGAGCUCUCCCUACGGUCAGCAGAGCUCACGCCCGAUGCAACCGGUCUCCCCCGAUGGGACCGGUCUCUUGGGGACUGGUCUCUCCCCGCAGGUACCGAUUCCUGAGAGCUGUCCACUGGGGACUUAGCCGAUUUUUCUCUCCUCUUGCUGCCUGUGCGUUCGGGGACCGGUCUUCCCGACCUGGGACCGGUCCCCGAGAGCACAAAACUGCAGUUUUGCAGAUUUUGAUUUCCAAGGCUCUCGAAGAUCCCCAGUAAUGCACUUUUGCAUUAUUUGACGCCUUCGGCCUUUCCAAAGCAUACCAACCUCGCUCUUUGGGCAAUUUGACCAAGGUUCGAUACUUGGUUACCGAAAUUUCGGUAUAUUACAUACCCACUCGACAACUAGUCGAUCCUGGACGAAGUCCAACUCUCGGCUUUCGAGAAUUCACUUCGUUACAACCAUGCUGUAUCGGUACACCCUUGGUGUUAAACCGGUAACACUUACUCCAGAGUUUUGAUUUUUGCACCGCUUCGACUCCAAUUCGCGUCGAGCAAUGCUAAAACUAUUCUAACUCUUUUAGAACUUAAUUCUAACCCUUCCAACAUUGUCGGAGUUUCAAUUGGGCUUUGUCUAACAACUUCUCUCGGUGCACUUUGGUCAACUUGACCAAAAGUGAUCUAACACGACGAGGAUUCCGUUAAUUUCUCAAAGGUCACAAGGGUCGCCAAAACUUGCGAAGUUCCAAGUCUCCGCUCGCCUCAAAUUGCCCAGGGACACCACUUGGCCCAUCCCGCGCAGAUCUAAAUGAAGAUCGCCUACGCAGUGCUAUCGCUUCCUAAAACGCGACAACUCUAGUAAUCCUCGACCUUCUAGGUCGAACACGAGACACUUAAUACCGACUCAAAUCGGGCGAAAGUCACGCAAGGGCGUCUAUUCUCAUAACUCGGCUUCAUGUUGUGUGCACCCAACAUGAAACACCCUUUGUCGAGAAUAAAUCUCACCUUGAGUCUACCUCUAACAUCUGUUUUAGAGGCUUAUGACACAACCCAAUCAAUUAACCUUUUGCCAAAAGUCACAAGUUCUCGUCUCUCACGAGCCUUAAUCUCCUAUGGUUUACUAUCCUAGGGUCUCCUAGGUCCAACUAAACCAUUUUCUAUUAUUCUUUUUUUUUAAUGUUUCUUUUAUGCUUUGAUACCAUCUUAUCUGUUACGUCCCGAACCCGCCUCUUUGGUCGGAUUCAGGCACGCCAACAGACCGCCGAACGGACAGAGUUUUCCCUGUACCACGAACAGAGUCUCCCCUGUACGUUCAAGGCGUCACAAUCAUACAAUACGCGAAGUUCCAACCAGGAACAGUAUUCAAUCAAAGAUUGCAUAAGGAAGGUAUCGAAAACAUAAACAACUAAAUUAUUACAUGCAUUCAACUCACUUAAUUCAUUCUACAUCACAUAUUACUCUUUUCAUUUACAUUCUUUAAGUCUCUUUUUAGCUUCCAAAUACAAUCAAGUUUCCAANUAGUUCAUAGAGAUGUCAAAUCAUCAAACAUCCUUCUCACCAAUGACUUUGAGCCCCAGGUGACGUUAAUUCCAUAAACCACCAAUGACCAUUUCUUCAUUUGACUUUGAAUUUUCUCCUAACUUUUUCUAUAAAUUGACCUCCUCUUUUGACAGUUAUCUGAUUUUGGACUAGCCAUAUGGGCACCGAACAAUUCAUCCUCCCUAACGCAUAGUGAUGUCGUCGGGACUUUUGGGUAUUGCUCUAUUUGUGAAGCCAUACCGAAUUCACAGCUAAAAUAAAGAGAUGAUUUCUUUUUUUUUCUUUUUUUCUUUUUUUUGAAUUCUGAUUGAUUGAAUUGACCAUAUGUGCAGAUACCUAGCUCCCGAGUAUUUUAUGUACGGGAAGGUUAGUGAUAAGAUUGAUGUGUACGCCUUCGGUGUUGUCCUACUUGAACUUCUAACAGGAAGAAAACCAAUCGCUGAUGAGAGUCCCAAGGGCCAAGAAAGUCUGGUUAUGUGGGUAAGGCCCGCACCCUUUGUUGAAGCGCAACAGUUACUCAAUAAUCUUUCUUCACAUCAAAUUCUAUUUUCCUCUUUGUCGAAAGAGUGUCCACAAUGGAUCAUGAAUGCACACAACUAUGCCGUUUCUCGUAAUGUCCAGUUACCCAAAAGUUAAGAUUUUCCAAUCGAUUAUAGUAGCGCCUGCAAGCGACGUCACCGCCUUUAACUAAGCAUGAUAAUCAACCCAAGUCCUUAGCCAAUCUUGUGAGCAGAUAAUAACCCGUUUAAACGUGGUUAACCUAUUUAUUUAUCAGCCUUCUUCUCUUACCAAACAUCCACCGACAAUGCUCCAUGAUUUUAAAUUCCUUGAUGCCGGCCGGAACAAGAAAUGUGCUAAACAAAAAAUCAGAGGGCAUCUUUACACGUACUUCCGUGACCAUAGACAAAACUUGAGAUCACAGACUGGCGCCCCCUUCCAUAUCUUUCUGAUUGCUCCAAUAAAAAGCCUGAUGUUCUCUCCCUUCUUUCUUUUUCUUUUUUCCAUCUAUUUAAUGAUGAUGUCCAAUCGUAAUCAUUGUAAGAAUUUUGAGACGUUUCUCCUUGCACCCUCACCUUUACACAUGCCCGCCAGCAAUUAGUCUGAAGAACUUUUGGAAUAGCAAUCCAGAAAGCUCACUUCAACUGCAUUCAUCCGCAGAUUCAGGCCCUCAUACAAAGCAUAUUACAAAGACAGGCCUAAUUGAUAGAUAGAAAUAAACAAAUUAAUUAACAAAUUUUGUAUUUUAAGCUCAUUCCCCUCUUCAGUAUAUGCAUUCAAACUGUCAUAAUCUUCCUCAACUAGUCAACCAACCAUUCUCAUGAGUUGCAAAUGUGUACUCGAGCAGGCAUCGCCGAUACUAAACCAAGGGGAUGUUACUGUUUUAUUGGAUCCGGCGCUCGGGGGAAACUACAACGAACUCCAAGUACGAAGAAUGGUCUCGGCUGCAUCUCUCUGCAUUACAAGGUCAGNGCGCCGCUUACGUGUGUACCUAUAACACCCCAAAACAACGUGGGGUGAGAACCAACUCCAUGGUUCCCAGUGGGUACGGCCACCUAAGAGAAAAGCUCAACCAAUAGGUCUAAUGAGGCACUGCAACAAGUUAGUCCAAUAACAUAUAACAGAUACUUAAACAUUUAUUCGAUAUUGAACUACAUGUCAUGCCUCGCGAUAUGCAAUAUGAAACCAUGCAACUAUACAAGUAGAAUAAAUGAUUUUACUUUGUAUCAUGCUAUCCAUAGCUUUUUCAUAAUUCAUACAUCUUAUCACUUUACAUCAUUGGUGAUUUGCUCCUAAGAUUUUCCUCUAUCCUAGCCAAGCUAACCAUCCGACUCGGUCUCGAGUAAAUCAACUGCGGAAUACCGCAUACAACCAGGCUCGAGGUGAUGGACGUCUCACAUACACCUCAGCCUUAAAAUCCACUCGACAGGGAUACCCAAUCUAUAGCUCAUAAUGCAUGCUUUUUCACGUUUACUUUGGCUUUUACCCAAUCUUACCGGUUAACAUUUGUUAACCCCAAUAACUCACAACCCAAAUCCCUACUAUCGGGGAGAAUUCCGCUACGACCCAACGGGACCGUCCUCUGGGGAGAAUUUCGCUAUGACCCAGUGGUGACAACUCCGGAGCGCACCGCCCGAGGGGGAGCUACCACCCUCGAGCCAAGACUUAUCGUGAGUAUCGAUCAAACCCUCAACUUGAGGAUACAUAGCCACUAGUCACAAUGCCAAUGUCACAAUAGGUUCCUACCUAUUUAAUCAUGCCACUCUCUAUGUCAACUUGGUCAAAUGUCAAUAUGGUUAAACUAUGUUUAACAACCACUUUCUUGAUGCCAAUCAUGUCUUUAUUGUCAAUGUCGCCCUUGUUUACUAAUGUUCAAGUCCAACUCUCACAUUCACACAAUAAUAGGGUCCUAACAUACAUGUCCAUUAUGGUUCUACCUUUCUCUAUGUUCAACUACGUUAGAAUCAUGUCAUUGAAUGCAACCAAGGUUCACAUGUACUUAGUCCUAUCAUGCAUGAAUGAUAAAAAAUACACAUGCUCAAAUGCCAUAAGUGUUUGCUAGGUUCAUGACACUAGGUUCACACUAUACUUAUUCAACCUAUGUUCAAGACACUAGGUUCAAUGCCACUCGAUCUAAUAUGCAUAGAUUGUCCACAUCGAGCAUUAUACUAGUUUUCCAAUGUCGAAUUCUCUAAUCAAACUAGAGUUAUCGACCCAAGUUCAACAUGCAUAGUUCAUCUAUUAAGUUCCACAAUAUGGCAACAUGUAUAAUUCUUCUAAUAUAGUUCAUACUUAGCAUCUCUUGCAUUCUUUUAGCAUUUAAGUCAUUAUGCAUUUCAUCUCAUUGGUAGGUAAUCUCAAUUACAUAGUAUGUUUCACGCAUUCAUAGUAUCAUGUAAACCUACCAAUACAACUAUAUGCAUCAAUUAGAAAACCAUUAUCCUUACAAUGCUAAUCAUUCAUCAUGCAAUUAUCUAGCAUUUACAUAACAUACUUAUCAUGCAUUCUACUUAGCAUUUUGCAUCAUAUUGUCCACAUGCAUUAGCUAUGUCAUUUUAUUAAUAUGCAUUAAUAUGAAUUCGUAUGUUUCUUAGACAUAAAGGGCGACCUAGUCGCUUCGGUAAGCACAACCCACCUCAAAUCGCUUUCCGAUUGCUUGUCGACACUUACAAUCGGCCUCCCGCAGCACCCGUAAUCCAGUUCAGCCCGAUUUCACCAAUACUCACCAACCGUGCGUCGAAUCGCGGCACCGAAAAUUAUAGGUCUUCAGUUAUAUGCCACGGUACUCCAAAUCCGUUUUCAUGACUUUACGAUGUCGCCUCAGCCCUCCAGGCGGAAACGAAGCCUAAACGUCUGUUUCUUUAAUAUCUUUACAACGGCUCGACGAAUCGCCGACCCGACUUCGCUAACGCGUUCGUUUACCUAGCAAUUAGGUUUACGGACAAAUGAGAUCAAACCCUACUAUUUUACAAAACUUUAUUUUCUAAGCCUAACAUUAAUUAACCUCCAAAUAAUCCAAAUUAAAUGGAGCAACAUGCUAAUAAAGCUCAUUAGAGGCUAUUAAAACACUUAAUGUGAAGGAUUAAGCCAAAUCCCAAAAGCUUACCACAAUGUGAACGCCGCGACGAAAGCACGCCGCUCCAACGGGCGCACGAAAACUCGAUCCGUCGCUCCCAACGCGUUCGCAAGCAUCUUCUCCGCCAACGCCGCGAAUUUGAGCGAGAGAUAUAGAGAGAUGAGAGAGAAAUCUAGAGAGAGAAAGAAGGGUUUCUCU
rnacentral:lncRNA from 1 species